rnacentral:lncRNA from 1 species
CUGAAAACAAAGUUUACCGGCGAAUUUCGCCGCGGAAAAUGACGAGAAUGGAUUACUUUUGUCUUUUUUCUGUUCCUGUGGAAACUUUGCCUGCCAUCGUGAAACUGGAGGGGUAUAUCUACAUCGUAGUGAGGUAAGACUGUUCUCAUGUUAACGAGGAGGAUGUUCUGAUUUGUUUUCAUGUAUGAUAGUGGGGUGAAGUUACCUGACGGCUUCUUCAGUUUCCUCUUUUCUACCGGAGUCUCUCAUGUCCGUAGCGCCUUUAAAACGUGUUUAAAAAAGUGUUUAAAAAAAAAUCUGUCAUCUCGUCCUUGUGAAGUUAGAGGCUGGAGAUGAGAGGGAGAGGCUCAUGUCACGGUCUUACCCGCGCAUGUGCGGACACCGGGUCCGAGUGGUUUUAAUCUUUUAGCUAAAUAUUACUAUCAACAAAUGUAGUAAUGAUAGCAGGUUUCUACAAAACAUUGUGUAAGCCUUGAUGAGUUUAGACAACCAGGGAAUCACGAGCAGAACGAUACCAACCUUGGUAAAAAGGUGGUACAAUUAGUUAUAUACAUACUCAUUUAGAAUCUGCUGAUUUCUUAUUACCACUGCAGUCAAAGUGAAGUCAGUGUUGUAUGUUUACGGUUGUAAAGUGGGGUCUAUUGUGAUAUUUUUUAUUAGGAGGCCAAAAAUCCCUGGCAGUGCCCCAGUGGGUGACUUAGUAUAGUCACACAGUACAAUGGGAUAAUGUCAUGGGGUGAUAUAUGGAUCAGACUACAGCACAAACUGUAUCCAGGGGAACAAGAUUUGAGUCCUGUGAGAGGAAAGAGACCAAGUCAAGGCUGGAUUGUCUUAAGCUACAUGAAUUACAUCCCUAUCUAAGAAAUUCUCGCUUAUACACUUAAUCAAAAUUGAUAGAUGUAUUACAUAAAACAUGACUAAGCAGUCCUGUUAAUGCCUGAGACUCUCUGUAAAGUAAAAAAAAACACCUCAGGUAGGUUAAGAGCUUCUCAGUGGUCUCCCAGGUGAGCACAAGGGCAGAAAUUUGUGCUACCAGCCAACAAUGAUCUUUGACGGACUGACAGGAAGUUUUCUUUGUGUUCUUGACAAAACGACAAACAAAUAGCAUCAUUUGCUUGAUACAGGACAAAAAGGAAAGUGUGUGGAUCUGAACCUGAAUCUGUCAAUUUUACAGACUAGAUAAUCCUUUAUGGUUUGUCUUCACCACUAUCAUUAAAUAUGCUGAAUCUCUGAUAAUGAUGUAAUCAUGAAGACUGAGUAGUGUUCAUGAACUUCAUCUUCUAAAGCCGCGUUCAGACCAGCCGCGACCUGACGCGACUUGGCGACGGCUCCCAAUGCAAAGUCUAUGGCCAGCCGCGACCUGACGCGACUUGGCGACCGCCGGCUUCCUGCGACGCGACCAUGCGCGACCGGGCGACCGGUCGCCAAGGCGCGUCCCCGAGGUCGCGUCGCCGAGGUCGCAGGACGCCAAGUCGCGUCGCUCCCAAAGUUCAAAUAUUUGAACUUUGGGAGCGACUUCGUGCCGCGACAGCCAAUCAGGGCUCUGCUGACGUCAACAAACCGGCGAAACAAGGAAGAGGAGAAGAAGAAUCACAAUGGAGGAGCAGUUAAUCACAUCCGUUAGCUACCACCCAGCUAACUGCCCCUGCUUGCUAGGCUACAUGUUUCAACGUAUGUGUGUGUGUGUGUCUUUGCAGUGGAUGUGUGCCGCAAGCGGUGGAAGGGGCUUAGAGACGUUUAUAUGAGGGACAGACAGAUAGACAGGCGCUCCGAAGCUGAGAUGGAGCGCCUGUAUUUCGUGUCCAGGCGGGAGAUGCUGCUUCCCACCUGGGCGAGGAGGUCCUCGAACUGCGCCGUCGACACACGGAAAUACCGCUGGAUGCGGCCGUCGUCCAGGCGGAGUUCCUGGAGCAAGCGGUGAAAUUCACCCAGCUCCGUCCUCCUCCGGAUGGUUUCAUGCACCCAUAAACGCCGGCGGCGUCUACUGCGGAUGCACAGAUAGCCUAUGCGGCAGCACUGAUGAACUGAAAACUGAGCUAGUGACAUGGAUGACGUCACCGGCGACCAGCCGCGACCUGCGACUGCAACUUUGGACCCGGUGUGAACACACCAGAGCACCACGCGACGCGACCUGACCGACCAACGCGACGCGACGCGACCUGGUCGCGUUUGGUCUGAACGCAUCUUCUAAGGCUUUCUUCUUUACACAGCAUUCCUCACUCCUCCUCCAUCUCCUACAAUAACAUGCAAAACGACUCCACUCCUUCCUCAUGGUGCUGACAAGGUUGUUUAUUUAAUGGCUGAUUUAUUUAUUUCUUUAUUCCUGAUAAUCCACUUUGGAAUCAAAACACAAUUAUAAUGAAUCAAGCACUGUUCUCCUUCCCGUGGCUAGAUGACAACACUCGAGUUGUUAAGAGAGGAUGUUGAAAGGCGCGCACAAAUGCGAGGCUGAUAAACUCCAAGAGUCAUCCAGUAUUAUGAAUUACUUAGUGCUGAAAUGUCAGAAAGAGAUUAGACUGUGAGAGCCACUUCUUUCGCGGCUUAUUGUGAAGAACCAUCCUCUGCUGUCGAUCUAUCUUUUGUUGAGGACUUAUGGACUUUCAAAUCUUAAAGUAUUACUUGAAUGCCUUUGCUUUUCUGUGGGUUUUAAUGCUGACUAUAAUGAGUACACACACAGCAGGUUGUACUAAGAAUGCCAGUGGUAACAAAGGUUUUUGCCUCAGGGGAACGGAUCCAGUCAACUUGGCAAAGCAGGGGCUCCAAGUACGUGCACAGUCCUUGCUGCGUUGGUGGUAGGAUUGAGUCCUGAUUCUGGCAUGGUUUGGUGCAUGUCAAUCCUCCCUAAGGGUGUUUUCACACCUGAAAGUCCAGACCAAGGUCCAAACCAAGGUCUUGGUGUCAACUUUAUUGACAUCGACAGGAAAGGAAAAGAAAGUAUGCAAUCCUGCAAGUCAUUGCAACACUGGCUCGGGAGAAAAGUAUGUGUUGAAAAGAUUAACUGUCAAUAGUGAGGUAUAACCUUACCUACAGUUUUAUAAAAUUUCCUGUUAUCGGACAAUCUCCAUUCCCUAUCUUUGGUACGAAGGUCUGAACCUUUCAAAAUAAUGCUUUCACACUGGGCAUGAACCAGACUGUGGUUCAGUUUGGUCAGUAGCAAGAUCACCUCUUUUGGUCCAGACCAAGGUUCUGGGGAGGUUUCGCACUUGUCAUUUGGGUUCGGACUAAACAGAAAAGUCUGAAAGUCCGGACCGUACAACAUAGGUGUGAAAGCCCCCUAAGUCUCUCAAGCUGUCCUAUUAAAAAAAAAGAGAUUGCUCCCCAAAUAAUCCCUGAAUAAAGACUACAAAAGUAAGUUUAUCUUUAUGAAAUGAUUGAUGAGCUGUCCAUGACGAAUUUUCUUAUUUUGUAACGCAGCAUUCCCUUUAAAGUCUGCAGGUGCUCUGUCACAGUUUUGCUACAUGGGUAUAAAUGCCAAUUCUGUUCUUUGAGGCCAAGAUUUGAUUCAUUUGGAGAAAUUUUGCCAGUGGUGGAAUUUUUUUGGUUUGUCCUCCAAUAUCCAAAUGCUGUGACCUACCUGAGAUAUGUACAAGGUUAUGGUUUCAUUGUGGUACUUGUGUCCUUGUUUGGUGCAGAUUUCUGCUCUCAUUUGUACUGAUUAACGGAUAAAAAAAAUAUAUAUUUCUGGAUGAAAGACUUAUUCACCUUUGUUUUGAGAGGAAUAGUGGCAAACACCGAGACCUUGGAGGAAAAAAAGGUAAUUAGUAAGCUGCUCACCGUUCUGUUUCUGUUCACUUUAUCAUCAAAGGAUUGUGAAGAAAAAACAAAAAAAAAAACAAAGAAAGCCUGCUGCAAUGGUAGUAGGAAUACAAGAUUUUCAGGUCAUUGUUAUAUUUGAUUUAAUGUGCCUUGCUUUGUCUACUAAAGAAAUCCUCAUUUGGAAAGAAGUAUUUUAAUCUUUCAUUAUUGCUUCUCUUUGAAACUUUUAUAACAACCGUCCAAUAUAAUCCAUGUUCCUGUGCUCUCUGCCUCCCAGUCUGGACAGCAGUCUGUUGCAGUUUCACAAUAAAGCUCAGACUGUUGGACUUAAAGAAUGGCUUUCUAAAUUGGCUCUGGAUUGGCACUAGUUUCGCAUACAGGAUUUCCUUUGUCACCACUGAUCCCCUUCAGGUGACACGACGCUACACCUUUAAGGGUCUGAGAGGUUUAGCUUUCAGGCCUUUCACUCUCAAUGUACCUGCUUUUGCUUUCACUAACUUACUAUAAAUUUUCAUUGUUAUGCUGACAACAUGGUUAUGUGUGCCUAUAAAAGCUCCAUUCGGCUCACGUCCCUGAGAAACUGCACCCUAGAUAAAAAAGUAAUAGAUGCUGUUGAGUUUUCUGCAGCUACAUGAGACCGCAUCAGGAGGAGCUCUCCAUUUAAUUGAUUCACUGUGAGUUUCUGCCUGCCAAAGUACCGCCAGUAACAAUUAAUGCAGGUGUAAAUUUUGACAGCAUUUUGAGCUUUGAUGUUUCAAUGUUUCGGGUCUUUCCCUGCUGUUUCUUUUUAAGUGUGGAAUAUUUCUUCAAUUAUUUUUCCAUCCAAAAUCAUCUGGAAAAAGGUCAUUGAGGCUUUGAUAUCCCCUCUCACAGAUGACUACAGCUCCUAUUUCUGUCUCAGUCAGAAAUCAUGCAGAAAGCAGAAGGAGUAAAACAUCAUGCACUUUAAUACAUUUCAAAGGUUUGAACAAAUUUUUUUCCAAGACAUUCUAAAGCUGCAAGUUCAUAGACAGAAAGGGAGUUUGAUAGAUAGGCAGGAUGAGAGGAAAAUACGUGAUUGAAUAACUUCAAAAACAUCAUGCAUCCUAAACUAAGACAAGCUACAUACAUCCUUGAGUAGGAAUGGGAAUCGAGAACCAUUUCCUGUUGAGAACCGGUUCUAAAUGGUUCAAUUCAUCAACAUCAUUUACAUUUUAUCUUAAAGAUUCCUUCCUCCGGGUGUCUUAAACAACAGUCCUGCGAGAGCCAGUCUACAUGAACGAGAACAGAGACUUGAAAAUUAGGCAGAAACGAUCUAAUGCGUGUCUUCAUUUUACUAAAAUGGAUGACAACAGUGCAACGUUUGUUGAGCAGUGAUAACAUGCAAAGGUGGAAACAAAAGCAACAUGCUUAAACAUUUGUCAACAGGGCAUGGCAUCAAAUAUAAGGAGUCACACCAGUCAUCAGCCGCUGCUGCUGGCGCUGCGAGAGAGUCUGUUCUGUUGGCGUGCAUCGCAGCAGUUGUUUGUUGCAGCUCUAAGUAAAAGUUAAACGUUCUGAAGUUAUGCUCCGUCUGUUCCCCUGUUUUCUCCUGCCAUGUCAGCUGGACUCGUUGGUUACCAGCCUUAAACGAGCCAAAGUGGCUGUUCCAUAUCUCGGUUAGGGACAAGGUAGCUAAAAAGGUAACAGCACGUAUGUCCUGUGUUAACAUAAGCACAAUGAAUGCCAGACUUUACAAUGUAUUAUGUUUUUGACUUAAAAGUAAAUGCUGUACAAAUAGUUUGUCAUUUGAUUAUUUUGAGACUCUCACUGAAGGUGUCGUACAUAUUUUUCUGUUAUUUUUCUGUUUGAGUUAACAGUGAAAACUUACAGUCUACUUUUUUUCAAAUCAAAGAAAGGCAUUGAUAAGGGAAUUGUUGCAUCGAUAAGCAGAAUCAAUAAUGGCAUUGAUAUCGAUAUAAUCUUAUCAAUUCCAAUCCCUACAUGUGAGUCUUCUGAGCCUCUUAAUGAGUCUUCAGGAGUUCCACCCAGGCUGCAGAAUAGAGUGUUUUGUCUUCCCUGGUUCUGGAGAAGCUUUGUCGAGUCUGAGAAAAUAACUCCUGGCAAUUUCACCAGAGCAACCCUUCGGCUUCGUCUGGAAAACUUCAAAGCCUGGGGGCAUGAAGUUCGAAAAGACAUGGGUAUCAACAGGCACAGGGGGAAUGAAGUAAACCUUUUGAGAUGCUAUAAAAUCUUUCUUGAGCUUAACCUUUGCUUUACUCUGCUGCUUCGAUUUCAGCCGUUUAAAAAAGUAUUUGUAUAAUAGAAAUACUACAACCACUGUGAACUCAUCACUGAGUCUUUUUGUGAAGCAGAUAUGUGAUGGAGUCUUGAGUUGCUGCAUUGUGAGAUUGGAACCCAUAAGUCACUUAUGACGGGUGAUAUGGCUCUUUCCAUAAUGAGUUCAUGUUGAGUUCAUGUUUCGCUGUAUUUUCCCACUUAGGCGAUGACAGCAACAAAACAAUUUUAUGAUGAAUAAUGAAACCCACUUCACUGCAAAACAAAACUUUACAAGCACACAAAGUAGAGCAGGGAGGCAGCUGUUUUUUAAUGGUUCUCCCACUCCUCUUUAUGUACACAAAAAGAAUCCAAAAUACUGGUUGUCAACUAGUUGCUCUUUCAUUGUAACUUAAAACCUUAUUUUUUCUCACUACAGACAUUAUUCAAGAAGAUGCAUAUCGUUCACUUCUGACAGGUGUCCUCUGGGCCUUUAAUGUCAAAGAGAAAUAAUGUGAUUAGUGCGAAGGGUGAUAAGUUCCCCACAGGCACCCUUCUUACCUUUGCUAUAGCUGUUGAUUUCUCUAUAAUUCUACAAUUCUUCAGAACUUCAUGGGUAGUGUUUGAUUUGGCAGUUGUCAGAAUACACACCUGGGGUCUCAUUUAAAAAAAAAAAAAAAAAAAAAAGGUGAAGCGAAUCUAUAAUGAAAGUGUGUGCAGAGCAAAAAACAACUAAAAACAUGCAAAAAGAUAAUCAAAAAUCAGGUUAAUAACCCCCCUCCGCACAUUUGCACCUAAAUAAAUCACAUUUCCUUUGAAAACAUGCAUUAUGUGUCUAAAUAUUUUUCUUUUUCCAUGUGUUGGUACACUGUGACUUAUAUGUAGCUAGGUAACAUUAGCUCCGUUUACGUCUCUGCUAUCUUCUUGUUGAUUUGAGCUUUUUUGGUGAAUAUGCAAUAUUGUAAGUCUAGCUAUCUCUUGUGACUAUGUUCUUGCAGUCUACAGAAAAAGACUUCUGUGCUGCUUCGUGCAGCCAACAACAGAGCAACUGCCGUGUCUUGCUCGUACCUUUGUUUGGGAGGGAGAAAAAUAGUGUCUGAGUGAAAAUUUUUGGCGGCAGAACAAACAUCUUGGGCAGGUUCACCAACCCGGAGGACAGGAGUUAUCGCCAUCCAUGACGUCAUGGAAGGCGAUAGUUUCAAUCUGCCCGUUUGAGAUGACAUUUUCUGAAAGGUGGAGCAAGCAAGAGAGGGAGAGGGUAGACUUUUCUCAAAUUGGGGGAGGGUUGUAGACAGGCUGGGGAUGCAUACUAUUGUUGAAAAAAACAUUUUCAAGUGAAUUUUGCAUAAUAUGGGACCUUUAAUGCUUACAGUUGUGGUGGCCCAUCAAAGUUUCUUUCAGUGAGUUAUGGCAAACAUCUGACACAAAAGUUUUGAACUGGUUUCUGCUUGUGAAUGAAGUGGAGGUCAGACAGCACAUUUUGAUUUUUUUCACAGGGUCACAAUGACAAUAAAUUAUGUGACUGCCGUUUAUAGCCCUUAGCUGUGCAUCCAUCAUUCAUAGGCACAGGUGUCACUGCAGUAUUAAUGUUUACAGGACUCAGACUGAUUUUUUCACAUUAAGCCAGAGUGCUCGCCUCAAUCACCAACACUCCCUGUAUUUAAUACUAUUUGACAGAGAUGUGUGUAUUAUAUCAUGGCCAUCACAUGCUGUAAAUUAGUCAGGAAUUCCAUUUCUAGGUGAUAAUUAUGAGUAAUUGUCACUAAUAGCUUGUUUUUAGUUAUUUGUCUAACACUGUUUUUUUGACUGUGAGCAUAUGUGAUGAUGUGCGAGAGCUGCCAGUGGAUCAGCUUACACGCUUUGCUAAAUAACAGUGGAUACCUGCAAAUGAUGCAUUUAAGUGACAAAAAGUUUAAGCAGCCUUUAUCUCUGAGCGCACUGAGAUUAAAUCUUCAUUACUGAUGAAAAUUAAAUCAAAUGAAAGCGCAGUUGCUUUGAGCAUAUUGACACAACCCUGGAUUUUGAAGUUACAAUAUGAUCCAGUUCUGUGCAUCUAUAAAGUUUGUUUUUACAUUCGUUUUUUAAUUAACUACUUUACAGCACAACAUUUACACUUGGGUCCCUUGCACAUGAGAUAGGAACUAAGCCUCGAAUUAAAGUCCUUAGCCAACGGAUUUUUUAAAUAAUUUUUUUUACUAUUGAUAGUGUUAUUGUGGUCAUAGUUGUGAUUAUUAAGUUUUUAUCCAAAAUCCCGUUACCUGUGUCAUUUUCAAGGGCUUUUCUUCUGCAGAGUUUCAGUAGCUCAAUAGCAAUUCUCCUCUGAGACAAAGGUGGAGACAGCGCUGCUCUGCUCACUCCUCUUCGUGCUUCUAGCCUAACAUUGCCGAUGUAGUAGAAGUAGCAGGUAACAUAGUCAAUCCCAUGUCAAUAUCAUGAUCAGCUUUCUUAUGAGCAUUUCAAUCUGCUCAUGCACACGCUUGUUCCGUGAUUGUCCUCUCUACUUCUUGGAGUCUGGCCUGCAGAGCAGAACAACGGGGGUGGAGUUUGGAGUUGUGACAUAGGAAAUCUCACUGUGUCUGAACCUUCCAUUUGGGUCUGUGAGAGGUUCACAGUGAUUUGACUGUAGAAAUACUCAGAAACUCAAUCCCGCACUUACUUUUCGAAUGAUAUGUCCUCUAGCGUCAGAAAUAUGCCAUAUGAACAUGUAGACAACAAGAGAAGCGUGAUUUUCAUCAGAGUGGGUCUUGAAAGACGGACCUCUCUUUUGCCUUGUUUUAAAAUUAACGUACUGUGAGGCACUUAGACUGUUCUUGAAGCUAAAUACCAUGGCUUGACAGAGCAGCAGUAAAGCUGCAAAGUGUACCACAGGGUAUUUUUUAUGACCAAUUGAGGAAUGUGUUUUUAGAGAGCUGCCAAACCCAUACCAGAAGAGUCCAGGAAAGGAUGCAGAGAUUUGGCACUUUUUGCAUACUACAGCUGGCAUCACCUGAAGCUGAUCUCAUAAUGAGGCUCCACUUGUCUGUUUUCAUUUGUGCUACUUGGUAAACAAGGUCUUCAGAAUGUGGCUACCAUAAUGUCACCCAGAAUAACAGCUGUAGGUUGUAUACUGAAGGUGUCUGGUUACAAAAAUCCUGUUUUCAAAAUACAUGAUAUCUAAACAACUCAAAGUCAGAGCAAAUAGAGCUGAGGCACUGGUGAAAAAAAAGUACCUAAUGUUAAAAUAAAAAGUACAUUAUAUAGACUUCACAUACAUUCCUGCAGCUGUGCUAAACCAUCUAUGCUGUAACCAACUUGAUGUGGCCUCUUGAAGCCCCUCAUUGAAUAUAUGAUGAUUGACAUCCUGGAAGUGACACUUUAAUGCUGCUUGAGAAACACAUUGUAUCGCGCCUCUCAUUAUUAUCUUUCCACUCCACUGCUCUCUGACUGAUGUGUGAAAUAGCUCUCAUCAUAUUUAUCUUGCACAAAAAAUUGUACAGGGAAAGCACUUUUGUUAAAGUAGUUUUUUUCUUCUUCUCUUGAACUUGGAUCUGACAAAACAAGGAUUAACUUAACUUACUCGGUACACAGGAAGCUUCACUUUCUUUGUUCAUUCUUUGAUGUCAUCAUUCCUCAGUGUUGCACAGGAUGUAUCGCCUCGACAAAAUAACCUGUUGGCUGCUGCCUGUCAGAGAUAGAUUUGCUUUCGUGACAUGGUGUCUAUCAAGACCCUCUCAGUGAUGCGGUGAUUCACAUUCGGAAAGUGACACGUACGUAAAUGCUACAUAAUGAGCGCUUCCAUUUCCUGUCCUGUUAUUACACACCCCUCCACUCCACCCUGUAGCUGAUGUCAGAAAUGGCCGUCAUCAUCAUCAUCAUCAUCAUCAUCAUCAGCCUGAACUUGCCUACUGUUCCUGCUGGAAGCACCUGUGCAGAUAAAUAACAUGGUACUGUAAAAGGAGACACCUGUCUUCACCUCCCACUUAUUAUAGCACUUCAGCAGAGGAUUUCUGAACCCUCAUUUUACAGCUGUUUUGAAUACCUGAUUUUGAUUGGUCAAUAUUAAGUAACAGUCUGUCACUUCUAUUGCUAUGGAUUUUUAUUGAUUGAUUGAUUGAUUGAUUAUAGACGCUGUCAGACUGAUUGUAAUCACAUCAGCCCAAUAAAUAGUUUUGGUUGGUCUGACAGUUUGUGAGAUUAAAAAAAAUUAAAUGGAAAAGGACACGUGCAGGAGGGGUGAGACACUAGAAGUACUUCAGUAGGACUUUAGUGCGCUAAUUUAUGUGAAAUGUAAAACGGUUCUUAUAACUGUCUCUGUUCUGCUGCUGCACAUAUUAUGACUGUGGUCCUAAUAUAAGGAUUUUUUGGUGUGUUAAAAGUAAUUCAGCAGUGCUGGUGUUUAGAUGGGUUUGUGUAUAUAUGUCUCUCUCUUUCUCUCUCUGCUUAGGUAUGCCAAAACCCUGUUAGCUGAUUGGACGAUGGUCUCCUGCUCAGCAAGUGAUAGGCUUUAUGCAGUAAGUUUUGCCCUAUAUUAGCUGAGAGAUUAGAUUAGUUUGGUUUAGACAGAAUUUAAUUGAUCCUUUUGGGAGGGUUCCCUUAAAGAAAUUAAAAUCCCAGCAGCGUCAGUGUGUACAGAAAAAAUUAAAUACACAGUUUUUCGAUGGAUACAUGUGCAGUGUAGAGCUGUGAGCACGGAGCGCAAAGCGUCCUUUACGCACAGAUGGUUCCGAUUUUAAUGCCAUUAUUGGAGUUUAUGUUGUGAUCUGUGAACACAACCCACCUUUGUCGCGUGAGGUUCAAACAAUGCAACUUUAUAUGACUUACGCCGAGCCACGCCACCGGCGAGGAACAAAAAUAGAGCCCUAAAUGUCUAUAAUUUCUAAGUGUAGGAUCAUAGAGUAAUUCUGAUUCUGAUUAAAGGUACAAUAGUAAGAUGGAAUGAGAUGAGAUAAGAUGAGAUGAGAUGAACUAUCUUUAUCUCCUGAGGGGAAGUUUGAUUGUCUUGGUCAAAAAAUUGCAAUAUGAUAAUUGCAAGUCUUUUAGAUCAAUGUAAACUCACUUGAAUAUGAAAACCUUUUCUUUUUUGGGAAAAUUAGCCUUUCUUACCCUUUCAAGUGGUCAGUCAUGCACUGCAAGUAUUUCUAAAGUAUUAAGGGAUGGGCAAAGUAGUCAUGGUUCUUGUAUUUUGUGACUGGUCUUCUGAAAAGCUCCAGUUGGAGGGUAAAGGAGACAAAAUAUACAGAGAAGAAGAUGAGAAAAAAGAGUUGGUUGCUGUUACGUGCAAAAUAUUUGUACUGAUUCCAGUUUUUGACAGAAAGAGGGACAAAAGGAGGAUCACUUCAUCCUACAUUGCAUGAGCUUCUCUCCGAGUGUUUUCGACCUAGACUGUGAUUGCUCGAUAUCACCAAUUCUGAGAACGUUGACUUUUCUUUGAUGCAUGCUGAAUUUUCCCCCAAAUAUAAAAAUCCUUACUCUCCUUUAACAGCUGUAGUCUAAUUUGGUAAUUUGAACACUAGAGGUAAAUUUGGAGUGGAAAAAUAUAGUUUUGAAAACCAAUAUGGUGAUUGCUACAUGUUUUGGCUUCUAUGUUGGCAUUAUCCGGAGCUGUUGUCUUGGGUGGAGUCUAUCUUUCUCCUCUUCACAGAGAUUGGGCGGCUCCCUCCUCCCACCUGCACCUUCACACCUGCACCAAAUUACUAUGAACACCACCUGCAUUUAAGCCCCGCUGUGAAGCUUCUCCAUCACCAGAUUAUUCCCACAUCUGUUGUGGUAUCUUGGCCAGUUCUCUAGUGUUCUCUUGUGAGUUUGCAGUUGUUUUAACAUUCCAGCUUUGUGUGUUUUAUCAGUGACAAACUUUGCUGUCCUCCAUCUCUUCCUGUGCCUCCACAAGCCCCUACUGCUACUGCCUAAUCUCUAUCAUGCUGCCACACUCUCUCCCUGGAUUCAGUUACCAGCCUCCUCCUCAAGUCCUCACAUCUCCAGCCUUCACCUCAUGCCUUGAACCCUGGAUCCCUCCCCUCCACCCUUUUCCCUUCAAUUAAUCAAUUAACCUAAUUGCUUUGUCUGCCUCUGGUUAUGCUUUUGGGUCCAAACUUAAACACCUGCUUUUCAAAACGUAACAACCAACCACUUACUGAUUGACAGUCAGUGUGAAAACAAUCAAGAAUCAGACUACAUUAACACGUGCCCGGCUAUUUUCAUAAACGGACAUUUUACGUCUCCGUUUACAAAAAAAAAAAACGCAUGCACACACCAAUACAUUUUCAGAAAAGUCUUCGUUUACACUAACCCAUGUAUACAUGCUGUCAAGAGCAUGCCAAACCUGUAGGUGGCAGUGUAGCGAGACGCUCAAGUCCACGUUAGCCUAUCAGAAUCCCGCAUAGCAGCAACAACAACAUUGUCACUUCCUUCUUUCCAGCGCACAAUCUGCCGUCCACUACCCAAAUGCAAAUGUGCAAACUGAGUUUCCCAAAUUCUCCACUUUGGCCGUUGUUUUUAAAAAAAGGAAAGUUUUCAGGGGCAAAUUCUCUGUUUGCGUCUAAAUGAAGGGUGCAAACGAUGGUUAAUGUCUUUGUUUUUAACAAUAACUGCGUACGUAUAAACAGAGCCUAAAUAUACAGAAUUUCCUCUGCCUAAAUGUGUUAAUGUAGUAAAAUCAUGUGUGCAUUCAUUAAGGUCAGCUGUUGUCUGAGAAACACUUUGGGCCAUUAGUCAAAGUAGAGACGAAGCCUUUAGGUCUGGUAAAUAUAAAAUAACAUUAAAACUGUUGUUGUUUAAAAAAGACUGUGACAGUCUCACCAUGAAUAUCAAAGCUGCUCAUGAGAAGUUUCAUUCCAUUAAAUUUAAUAGUCAUAGAUUUGGAAUCUAUCAAUCUCUUUAUGGUUCUGACUGAAUUAGUAAAGCGUUUGGCCCAACUUGUUUUUUUUUUUUCUCUCCGACAAAUGCAGUCAGGAGGCACUUUGGGUGAAUAAUAGGUGCAAAAAGCAUGAGCCCUCAUCACUGAAGGCUUAGUUUUACUCACUUAAUUUACAUCUAGUCAGGUCUUAUGGAACAUUUUCUUCCUUUCCCAGCUGUUUGCCUCAUCCCUGCCCCACUGGCCAAAUUCUACAAAUCAGCAAUGCACCAGAGCAUUUGUGCUCCUGUAUGGCAGCUAACAAGCUAACACAGAAAACCUUAAACAGAGUCAGGGAGCAAAGUCUUCCCUCCCCAUCUGUUGCCUUUAAGGGCCGCCUCUUGCUGAAACAGACAGUUGAGUCUCUCUCCUUUCCUUAUUUAGGAUGGAUGGAUGACUCAUAGACACGAUUGUACACCAUUGCCACAGCAUCAGGAAAGAUAGUGGACAGUGGACUCCCCUCUUUCUACUCCUGGAUUAGUGCCAUUGAGCAUCUUUUAAUUAAAAAAAAAAAAAAAAAAACUUUUACAGGACCUCAAACAGGUUCAGUGUGUUGGUUAAAUGGGAUUUGGGCAUUAUGUUUUGUGGCAGCCUGUCUGCUUUUCAAAGUCUGCAUGGAUACACUAGGUUUAUUUCUGUUUAGGCUUCUGUCUCUUACAAGCCACUGGCCUUUUUAUCUGCUCCACCGUCAGCUCGCUAUAAUAAUGCGAUGAAACAAGUACGACAGGCACAUUUCACAAAAUGAGUGUCUGCAACUGAAACAGCUGCAGCGCAUUCUCCCACAUGAUUUACUGUUAAAUUGUCUCUGUGCAGUCGGGAGGCAUGUCCAUGAACUCUAAAUGUGAAGAGGUUACAGUUCACUUCGGAGCUAAGAUUUGUAGUAUUAGGAGAAAUUCAAGAUAAGACAAGAAGAACUUCAUUUAUUCAAGAGGGGAAAUUCAAUAAUUCAAGUCAAUGUCAUAAUUCUUAAUAUACCAUCUCGAAUGUAUUUACAAACCAAAGUAUAACAGCGGGAUGUGCCCUUGUUAAAACAGUCUAAAGGCAGUUCAGUGUCAGAUAGCUUCAUUCCUGUGUAACUGACCUCUCUGGUGCUAUUUGAGUAGUUUUAAGUAUAAAUCCUUGACCGAUAUUUGACUUUUCUUUUUCAUUAUGAAUCAAUGCCUAAACAACCUUUAAACUCUCAGAUGAUGUUUGUGUUCCUCAGGGUUCCAUCUUAGGUCCUCUGCAUUUUGAAAUUGGCAUGAGGUAUCUUCCAAAUCUAUGCUAUUGACACAUGACACUGGGAGAGAAAAGAUACAUUCAUACACACUGUUAAUGUUGAAUUGUUUUUUAUUUUUAUUUAUUUUAUGUUAUUUUAUUUAUUUAUUUUUUACCAGUUUGAAGUUUUCUGUUAACUUAGUAUUGAGUAUAAGGUCAUAUUAUUGUAUUUUAAAGUUCUUAAUGGUUCUGACUCUAAUUGUGUUAUCUGUUUUUAUCACGCCAAUUUGGCCUGGGUGUGAGGUUCAUUUGUUUAUCGCGCUAUUGAUUAUAUUCUACCUUUCAGUCUGACCUUAGAUUGAGUUUGAAUUAUUAAUUAUUUUAAUUUCUUAGUUUGUGACUGCAGUGAUGGAGGUACAGAGGUACAGAGAUGUACUGUGUUAUUCAGCCAGUACCCUGAAGGACAUGCAUUUACUGUAACACUGUACUAAUAUCUUUUAAAGGAUAUAGUUAGUCUAAGCAUCAGUACAACAUUAAACUCAAUGCCAAAAUUAAGUAUGACUUUGUGAUUUUCCAAAUUGCAGUCAAAUAAAAGGUAAUCCAGAAAGUUUCCACUGUUUGAUAGUCAUAUGGAAAAAAACAGCGUCCUGAUACGAUCUCUAGUCUGAGUAAUGUUGACGAUUUCAACGCCUUUGUUGCUCUUGCUCUGGCAUCAGGCCUCUGAGUUCUUCCAACCUGUUUCUUGAUUUUAUAUAACAAAUAGUCCUCAUAGCUCGCAUCACAAAGCCAUCAGUUGUUGACACACGCUGUUAUAAAGGACCACGAUAAAACAUUGUAGAUAUGUGCCACAAAAUGAGGAAAAAACAUGUAUGGCUAAUCUGACAAUUGAAAUGACAGUAUGGGAGAAUAUAUGUCUGCACUGUUGUUCAGGCACCAAACAUAUUGCUGUUCAUAUUUCAUAAAGAAUGCAUUGUCCACUGAGAUAUGGAAACUGAUCCGUUUAUAGAUUGGCAAACUGAAGCGGAACUGUUCGAAACAACCAUGUCAGGGAUAUCUGAAAUUGUUUUGACAUUUAUGAUCUUUUUUUUCUCCCCAUAGCCAGCAGUGAGAGAUGCUCUGCUCUGACUGCAUGACACAGGGGGUGUGCACGCUGGAAAAACUCAACAGAGCUCAAUCCCUGACAAUCUGAUAGAGGAGUGUGCCCUACCUUAUCAGGCAGAGUGUAGCUAGUGAGUCAUGACACGUAGACAGGUUCUUGUUCUGAGACUUGUGCCUUUUUCUUACAGCCAUUUGGGUUACUGCAUAAAUCACCUCUAAGUCGCCUUAAGUCCAAAUCCUCAUGAGCUUUGAAUGGCGUCUAGCAGUAGGACUAUGGGAUUGCUGAAAAUUGAAUUUUAGUUCUGCGGAUUUGCUUAUUGUUGGGGGGGUAAUCAUUCAUGGAUUUGGUUGGGGUUCAGUUGCUUUUUUAUUUGCAGUGGAGAUAGAGGGGUUUUAUAUACGCAUGCCAUUAGAGGGUUAUAAUGGGCCACUAAAGGCAGGUUUCACAAAUUUAAUGUCACUUGUAAUAUUCAACAUAAGCUCUCUAAUUGAUCUAAUGAAAACUCAGUAUGCCUUUCAGCGGUAGCCUUUUAAACGGAAUAAUCCAAAAUAAUUUGUUUAUUGUUCAUUUAAUAGGAUUCUAAUUAGCUGUGACAUAAAACACCACAAGUCUGCACAAACAUUCGACAUUUAUUGAAGAGAAGCUAACCAUUCAUAUUUGUGAGUCUGAGAGUAGGAGUCUGAUGAACUGUUUGUCAAAUAAAAUGAAAGUGUAUCUUAUCAAUAACACCUAAACCGUGUAGCGUGCAAUGAUGGCACACUUUUCCUUGCACUCCAGCUGCUGUCAGGAGAACAAAUUGCUAUUAGCAUAAUAAUUCAGUGAACUGUCAUACAGAAGGCACAGAGGUUAUGUUGGCAGGUAUCUGUCCAUUGGCUGGUGUGUGCCCAUUGGCGAGGCCUUUAAACUGACUGGGGCAGGGCAGCCAUCAAUAAUUCAAUGGGUGUGCCAGCGCAAAGGUAAACAAUGGCUGUAAUUAGGGGAGGUCUGCACUGUGGACAGGGAGAUUAAUGAAAGGGCAGUCGUUUCCACCAGUGCCCAGAGACAAGAGGUCUUUCACAGUGACGGAGGCACUGCCAGACUAAGAACAGUCCUACUGGGGUUCUGUCAGUGUGUGGGUUUAAUAAAAUAGCUGUGUUUCCAGACAUACACCAAGACACUUCACAGGUUAUUUGUACAAGAGAAACACACACACAAAGGUUGGAUAGUUAUUCUUAAACAUUAAUUUAAGUGAUUUGUAAGAAAAAAAAACUAAUCAUGUUAAAUGCAUUUUGUCUAAGAGUGCCAUUCUUUACAAUCCUUUGUCAGAAUCACUUCAGAAAGGGGCAAGAAAAGGAAGAAGAACAAGAAGUUUAUUAAUCCCCAAAGGGAAAUUCAUUAUACCUGCAUACAGUAGAUACUAUCAAAGACACUAGGCAUCCCAGGCCUGGUGUUACCAGACCCGUCAGCUAUCCACCGCUUUCCCCUCUGUGGCCCAAUCCCAGCUUUUUAUUUGAGAUGAUUUCUGUUGCUAUGUGCCAAAACACACUCAGCAUGAACCUGACUGGUCGCAGGUCUGUUUAAUCACCUCUAGAGGAACUUCCACAUACGACGGUUGCAAACGCUGCAAUUCACAGGUUUAAAUAACAAUUCCUGUCUGAGGGAUGAAAGCUUCUUUUGAGUUCACACAUUAUGUUUGAAUGCUUGAUGUCACUUUCCCGACUUUCCUUCUUUUUCAAUCCUCUGCUCUCACAAGUCAGUGUUCUUUUAUACGCAGUGCGCUCAGCGGUUCAACACACACAUCCAUGUGAAGAAAGACUGACACACUAAAGAAGUAAUCUGCAAAGGAGAAAAAAAACUCCUCUUUUUUACAUCGGUUGACCUCUCAGCACUUUUCCCUCAUUUUUGAAGAAAAUAUAUUUAAUUUACACAGCAGCUUGUUCUUGUUUGCCCGGUUGAUUCAGUCGGCAAGAACAUCCUCCCUGUGACCUUGUCUCUUUUCACUAAGACUUUCAUCAAACUGAAAACAUGGCUGACCAAGCAACCGCUGCAAGCUGCUCAGCUCAGUUCACUCUAGCAGAAAUGUGUGCCUCCUGGUUUGUGUCUGCAAUGGUGAGAAGGAACAUUUUGGAAGCACUGUGAAGUAUGCAGUCCAUGGGAAAGCUAAGGAUGUUGAUCGAAGAGCACCGUAUGCAAAAAAAAAAAAAAAAGAGAGAGAGACAGACUGUUUUAACUAGAACUACCCAGAUUCAUUGGUGAUUACAGUAGGUUUGAUGAACCAUGGCACAUAAAAUCUCUCUAAAUCAGCUGAGAGGUGGCUCGGGAUCCAAAACCACAGAUACAAAUCCUGUAAAAAAAGAAAAAUAAAAAUAAAAUCUUUGAACCACAAAACUCCAUCUGAACUAUCACCUUGUGGGUUGUUUUUGAUGUGAUCCAGUGAUUCCUUUAAAACAACAGUUGGCCUCUGUGUUUCCCCUUUGCUUGAAGGCGCCCCAGAGACCUAUUUCAGAAGCUUUAAAAGGUUUGAACUAUUGUUGAACUGAAGUCUUUUUUUAUUUAAUCAAACUAUUGUAAAAGACUGUUUGUGUCUUCAGAAGUCCACUGUAGUCUUUAAGUGUCUUUGAGUUUGGUGGUUUCUGCUCUCAGAACAGUUUUCUUUUUUAAUUUAUUUGGUGCAAUGCAAAAUUAAUUACAAAAAAUUUGUAGCAAAACUAUUUUUUUUCUAAUUGGAGGAACUUAAAUGAAUGACUGAUCUUUUAACCUUUUGUUUGUUUUCUUUUGGUUUUGAGUGGAUGUUAUUCCUCUCAAAAGGUGUUGGGCGUAAUGAAUUUUACCACAAUGGGUGUUGAUUUUUCCACUUAAUUACAAGUCCUUUAAAUUAGCUGUAACAUGAUUAGCUUAAUUUGUUAUUCCAUAAUUAAGAGGGAGGGAAUUUGUUUGUUUUUUCAAUCUAAGAGUUAAAAGGUCGGGAGUUUUUUAAUCUCCCUCUAAAGACCCAAGCUUGUUGUCUUUGUAGAAGUACAGUGGUUUUGUAGAGUUGUGUGUUUUUAUUUAGUGUGCAGCCAUUUUAAGUGCAACCUCAUAAAGAUGUAGAAAAGAGAGCUGUUUUAUGCAUAAAAUAAUUAAAUUAUGAUGAUACAUAUGUGACAAUUAGAGGAUUACGCAUCACAGCAGCUUCUUGACUUUAUUCUUCGUCUUUCAAACGCUUACUUUGAACUCUGAAUCUGAAUGCAUCAACAUUGUCGUCAUUUGUUUGUUGGUUUCUGUAUUGUGUGUUCACAUACAUUAACGGGAUUCAGCUAAAUAGGUCAAGUGCCUUGAGUAGAAUGAAAUUCACUUCCUCUUCAGCACCAUGGACAGCACCAUGAAGAGCCUCACGCAAGCAUCUGCCCUCAAGUGUUGUUCAGCGAAAUGUGGUUGGAGUUUUGAGUGGAUUUAUAUGGAAACUCUGGGGAUUUAAUUCCAGUCAACUUGGCAGAUGAGCUGUCUUAAUUGAUUCUUGAUCAAAUGUUUACCACAGCAACAGUAAAUCUCCACCACCUUUUUAUUUUGCAGAGGGCUGGACCCUCUCUAAUGACCAAACAGAGCCUGAUUUUGAAUAAGGAGAAAACUUAUUGACAUCUUAUUUUUUUUAUUCAUGUUUUAUUUCUAUUUUUUAGGCACACACACAUGUGCAAAUGGAUUUUCUGUUUUGAAGAAAAAAAAAUCUUUUGCCCUUUGCGUCAUAGAUUAGAGUCUAUAUUCAUGUUCUACUGAAGUUUCAUGUUAAUCCCAUCACACUCGGCUAAAUCACUGAGAGCCAUGUGUUCCACAGAUCUUUGUGUGCCCAUGUGUCCCCGUUCAUGUGCCAAGAAAAAGUCCAGCGGCUGUGAUUUAAGCCGGAUUUCAAACAUCAAGUCUCCGCCUCUAGGAAACAAUGCAUUGUAAGCCACCACCUGUCAAACGUCACACAACAGGGGGGCCUUCAAGGCUGCUAAAAACACUGCUUCCUAAGACCUGUAGUUUGAGCUUUCAGCUGCAGGGGCAGAAGGGCAAAAAAAGGAAAGAGAUCCAGGAACAAAGCCAGUGCCUGUAUAUUCCAUGAUUCCCCCAUGUCAGAGCUGCCCUGGCUGGAUGUCCUCUGCUCCCCCCUGGCGAUCAUUCAUCAUGCCGUCACACGGAGCAAAGGGGGACUACGGCUCGUGUAUCUCUGCUGUACAGUGACUUCUUGGAACAUGCAUGGGGGCCACUGCAUAAUCGGUUGGUUCUUUUAUGCCUAAAAUACCUCAUCUGCAUCGACUUCACCGCAGCUGCUUUCUCUUAUCUCCUCUGAAUUGAUUUACUGUGAAUAACCGAGAUUGUAUGGCAGAUAAAAUCAGGUUCAUGUUUACAAAAUAAGCUACGAGACACAAUGCUUGAAGCAGAAGAUCCAGUGGGUUGCGAGAGUAAAUCAGUGAAUUGUUUUAAUAAGCGGCAGUCUGCACAUGUGAGGUGUUCGUUAGGAAUGUCUAUCUUUGCAUAUUUCAUAAUUUCAAAUUUAGGUCACCUUUUUUUAUGCAACCACUUAUGUCAUUGAAUUGUUGCGAUUAAAGGAGUUAUCUUUAUUACACAUAAUCCUGUAUCUAAACUGAGUGGGAGUGGAUAGUUUGCAUUUAAAUUUGUGUCACAGCAGUUGGGAGUAGGAUGUUUAAUGAAACCCUCGGGGUCUAGUUUACAAAGACUGAAACAGAAUAGAGUCUUUGUUUCAGAAUAUCACAGGAGGACUGAGCUUUACAUUUUCACAACAUCAGCCAGGGAUGGCGAUGGCUUGGAAAGGGAUUGUUCGUUGGAAGCCAUGUUUUUAUUUUAAGGAAGACUGAUCUGCUUGUGCAACUCUGCAAGAGAAGAUACGCCACUGACACCUCUUUGUCUUUGAACCCCUGCGUAUUUUCAGCUGCUGUAGUGCUUUAAAGCAUAACUCCAAGAUUUAUCUAUAUUAUCAGUCGAAUCCUGUGUCACUUUCUUGUGUCGGCUGCUGUGUUAUUUUCAGCUACAUCCUUGUCUAAAGCUGCUGCUGCUAAAGCGAUGUGUCAGGCCUUAUUCCCACACCCAGCAGGUUGUUGUUCUUCUUGAUAGCUCACCAACAGGCAUAUUACCAGUCCCGGCUGUUGUUGUCACUGAUGUGCAGCCCCAAGACACUGCCUUCCCCUGUUCACAGUUCCUAGGAGUGUUAUGUGUCAUGUAAUAAGAGUGUACACCUUUUGUCCAAGCUAGGUCUACAGGGGCCCUGAAGGUACAGUCAAGAUGGGAGGGGGGUUGAUGUUAGAUUGAGGCGACACGUCUGCUCGCUGUCCCUGGGAGACGAAUGGGCCGUGGUCACCCCGCGACGUCCCCAGACAUCCCCAGAUGUUCCGGGACCUUAUGCGGCCCGAGUGGUUGACAGGCCCGAGAGACUCAGAGUCACAGCGUGAUUAAUCACCACACACACUGCAGCAUGCAGCUCAGCUCCCGCUGGCCCACAGCCGAAUGACUGGCCACUGCGCCGCAAAACAUUUCCUUCAAUGAGAAAUAAUAGCGAUAUCUGCUGAGAUAAUGAUGCACCUAUUAAAGAAUGAAAGGGGGGAAUAAAUAGGAUUUCGUCAUGAAAUAAACUUCAGAACAAACUUUGGAAAGUCUGAGAAAGAGUUCGAGAAUUGUGACGUUUGAGAGCUGCUGUUAACAAACUUGUAUGACCAAUAGCCUAUACCAAUAAAAAUAAACAGAGCAGUUUGCUAUUGUGUAAUGCAUCUAUAGUAUAAUAUAAGGGACUGCUUCAAUGUAAAAACAUGCUGGAUACACAGGCCUACCACUCAGUGCCACUUCUUAGCGCAAAAACGUCCGUGGACAGAAAUUCUUUUGCACACAAAAACAACUACUGUCUUUGUUUUUGUUUUCUAACUGGUGCAUUGACCAUAUGCUGAAUACACUAUCAUGUAUGCUGCUAGUUUGUCUUUUAAUACUACUUUACAAAACAAGACGAUGGCCUCUACGGGGACCUGCUCUUGAAAGGUUAAUUUCAAAUUAACAAAAACAAAGAGAUUUACUUUUCAGCUGACUAUACGCUUAUUUAAACUGUAAGAAUCAGUUCUUUAGUUGACUGCUCAAAGACAACCAGAGAAGUCUUCAGUUCUCACAUAAACCUUUAAACCUCUACACAGGUAGAGUAAUACAGCGUUGGACUCAUAAUGACAGAGCUCCUAGGAUCUCCAUCACAACGAGUGCCCAUGUCCGGGUAUCAUUCCCAUUUAUCUUCUUGGGCAGGGAUUGCCCUGGACAGAGGUUGAACUUAAUACACAACCAAGAAUCAUUGGCCAGUUAUCUCUGAUGUGAACAGGUCAACCACUGUUCACGUGGUCUUACUAAAGUGUGCUAUGAAAUCUGUGUGUGUGUUGUUGACCUUGAGGCGCGUAACUACUGUAGCAAACCUGUCCGUCAGAACAAAUAGAGCCUCGACAUAAUUUACAGUCCACAUUACUCUGCUUCAUGUCCGACCUCAAAAUACCGAAAUACCUCCACACCACCGACGUUUUCGUCAGUGUUGUUGACGAUGUGGUCAUCUGUUGAGCCUUCAUGGUCAUUUCUGUCGGGGGUAGCACUCAUUUUCUUUUUCUCUCACCAACAGUGCUGUUGGCUUCACCUGUUUAACUGCUAUGGUCGGGUGUAGCUGCUGUCUGCUACGACGCAGUUGUUUGAUACUUGGUUCUACUUCAGCACAUGAUUGGUUCAGUGUGAAGUGGACCCAGAGUAACUCCCAUUUUCAUUGGCUAUUCAUAUAGUCUACCAUGGCAGAAUGCCGACUAUUGAAAAGCAUAUUGACCGUGUUUUAUAUUGAUAUUGAGGGAAAUUAAUUUUUGAUAUAUAUCGUUAUCAUUUUAUCACCCAGCCCUAAUUGUUAUGUUACAUCUUUUUUUUUUAUUCCUCUUUCGUACAGCACUUUGGUACAACUUAAUUGUUCUUACUUAAAUCUGCUACAUAAAUGAAUUGGAAUAGAAUGAAAAUAGACCUCGUAUAGGUUUCACCUUUUACUUUUUAAAAUCAAAAACUCACAACACUUUUACGAACUUUUUUGGCAGAGCACAAAACACCAAAGGGAACAGGACGGCACUGAAUGUUUAUGUGGGGAAUAUCUUGCACCGGCUGAAAUGUUGUGUUUUGAACUUCACAGAAGCAACAACCGCACACUGAGACUUGUGCAUUUGAUGAUAGAAUCUGACAAUGUCACACAGACCUUCACAGUAUGCAUUUUUAUACUCUCUUGAUGCGGCUAGCUCUUCCACAUCCCCUUCAAACAUGCGUGGGCGGUUUAAGCUGUCAUUUCAUUCCGAGGGGCAGUUUGGGGUCACGGAAAGUGAGCAGAAGCGUAUAGAGGCUUCAGAAAGUAUAAGUGCUCAUGGAUGGUUUGAUACUGCCGGCCCACUCUGUUGGACAAUAAUUAAAGCACAGUCAGCUAAUGAGUUUCUUCUGCCUUUUUGAACCUUUCUCAUCAGGACCACUGGCAUUUUCUAGGGUUCACUUACAGAGAGCAGCUUAGGACAAAAUCUGAAGUGAUAUGAAAGAAAUGCUUUUACUCUCUGUUUUACUGCAUGUCUAAUUUACUUAUCCACAAUUUGACAUCACACUAGGAUAGGCAAUUACAUUUGCAGAAUGGAUAUUUUUCCUUCAUCGUUCACUAUCUCUGCUAGUUUCACUUGAUGAAUAUAGAGUGAAAUUUCGUGUAUAACCUCAAUAAAACUGAGUUUUUAAAGGAAAGUCAUUUAAAUAAUACAUUUUAAGGUUGUGUGCACUGGUCAUAAACGCUCUUGUGAGGAGUUUUUUGACAUUUAUGAAAUGGUUUACUACUCAUGUUGAUAUUUUUUGAUGAUAUACAAAACAAAUAUCAUUUUUAUAUUGUACAUUCUAAUGCCUGAAACUUGCGCAGGAGGCAAAUAUUCACAAUAAAUGAUAUGUUUGUCUGCCAGGAGUCAGUGGGAUGAGAAUUCUUGUCAGAAAAUACUACUUAGGCAAGAAAAAGACAAGUUAAACAAAUUCCUGCUUUGUCCAGAGGGGGCAUCAGAUUUGACACAAACUGAAAGUCACUGACUGGAGCUUUAAACACAUUUGAUGUAUUCACUAAACGUUUUUGGCAGUAGUUUUUCCUUGCAUGACUAGCAGCUUAUGAUGGCGAAUGUUAGCAGACUUUGAAUGGGGUGAUAUGAAUGAUCCUGUCUACUGACCUCAAGAUCAAGAUUUUUCCACAAAAUUUUUCCAUGUUUUACUACAACUAACUCUCUCCAUCCUGAUAAGGGGCAGUCACUGUUGUUCCACAUUUCUUGUAAACUUCAUUUGGGAGCAAGCUGAGUACCUUGUUUUCAUCUGUUAUCGCCUUCUACAUGAUUUGCACAACAGUAUCUGCAGCAUGCUGCAGAAAGGCAAGCCAGCUACCUGGUUCCUGAAUUCUUCUUGGACAAGAACAGCCUCAUCAUAAACAGAAAAGUCUGCAUUUGAAAACAAAUCAUUGCUCAUAUGAAUGAUUCAUAUGCACACAAGUCUGCAAAAACAACAAAAAUCACUGUAAUGAGCAUGACAGACCAGUGGUUGCCUGUGUAACUUAGUGAUGAAACACCAACACUGAAGAUUACAAAGUACCUGCAGUAAAGUUUUAACAGAGCAGUGAGUAUAAACAAACUCACAAGAAGGUGAUGGCAAACACAGCUGAAGAGGUGUAAAUCAACUCGGCAGAGUCAACAGCACAAACCCAGCUCCACAGUUCACUGUCUGCUUCAUUGUCCUGGACAGCUGUUUGACCGGGAACAUACUAUCCUCAUGCAAAUGGACUAUCACCGUUUUCUGAAGAGUUCUGUAUUUGGUAGUUUCCAUGAGUAUAACGGGGAAAGCUUUUUCAAAAGACUCCAGUCUGAAUCCUAAAGAUAAAAACGUGCUUUUAGGGCCUGAUUUUCUCAGGGUUUGUGUGUUUAAAAAGCAAGUGUAAACUUCAGAACACCAGAGGACUCUCUGUAGCUUCAACAAGUUAAACACGGCAAACCUUCAACUGAAUACCACCUCCUCCACAGUCUCAUCAUUCCUACUUCAUCACCUGUAAAACGCACAACAAACUGUGCAAUUUGUUAGGAUGUGCAUGCAAUUGAGUGUUAUUUGGGAUCUUUGUAAAUCAGGCCCUUAGUAACCCAAAACACAGUUUUGUGUUAAAAACAGUCAGAAUGCAUCAAUAUUUAAGCUUCUUACGUGUUGAAUAAUCAGCCUCCGAGUCGUCUCCUCCUGCUGCUUCAUCUUUGUCUUCUGGGAAUUUGUCUUUGUCUUCUGGGCUCACCAGAGUUUUUUUAGCUGCACAGUAACACCGAAUGCUUCAUCUUUAACGUUAUAUCAAUAUUCUAUUUCUUGAAAAGAGAGUUACUGUCAAUGGGUCCACAGUCCUAUUAGUUUUUAUUUUAUUUUUUUCAGAUAUUUAGAGCAGGGGAUAUACGAAAGCAGUGAUUUACACUUGAAGAGUCCUAACAGCCUCUGCUUUCUUCGUGUCUCUCUUCAGAUUUGCUGUAAACUAAGCACCAUUAGGAUAUAAAGGAUCACAUUUAAUGUCCCCGUUCUUAUUACAUGGAAGCUCCAGUAAAAAGAGCUCCAGAGGCAAGCAGGAGAAUUUACUCUCCUCAGUCAUUACUUACAUAAUCCCCCAUUGUUCUCAGCUUUUCUGUACAUUCUGUGUUCCCUGAAGGAUGUUCAACACCCUUAAAGCAUCAUGACAUUAUAGCACAUCAUCUGACAAAACAAACACGCCACACAGAGCAUAACUGCACCUGUAAUUGACAGAUCAGUGAUGGCUCAUUAUCCCUUUAUUGGGUUACAUAAAUGACACUGAGGAGGAUGGUUGCGGUAACUCGGGGGAUUUCUAUGUCCAUCUGUUCAGCCGUCACAGAAUCAUUCAAAUGCAAAUGUUUUCAGCACAGGGUUCUGCUUUCUGGCUAAUGCUGCAUUUUUCAUCCUCAGACGGUCAUUCUUCGGUCUGGCCUUUACCCAAUUUUAUCAAAUUAGAUGGUCAAUUUAAGGGAGAGUGCUUUGCUUUUUUAUGAAGCAUAUGCCUCAUACAUUUCCCACCAGGAUCUGUCAUAGAACAAGAUGAGGUAAGUAUCCACUGUCACACUGUAGCUUGGCUCUAUGCAAUUUGAAGAUGCAUUGAGUUUGCUCUUUCUUGUUGAGGCUGAAGUCAACCUCUUUUGGCCAUUUGUUUUGCAAGUCUCAGAUCAGUCAUCAAAGCUCGGCCUGAAAAGAAAGGAUGGUGUGUGGCGAUGGUUUUCAGUUGGAUUCCUCUUUUAAGAUGCAGAUGAAAAAAAAAAAAAACAGAAAAUGUGGAGCAAACAAAUUGAGUCUGCCUGAGAAAAGAAAAGCGCCAGCCAGCACAAAGCGUAUACUCUGUGCUGUCAGGUCACUUUAGCAGUAUGUUUUGACAGAUAAAAGGUCAACAUGACCCAGUUCCUGCCCAGGAUGAGUGAAUGGAAGAAGCACAGGUCACAGUCAGUGACGGUGAAAAAGUGAGUGUGUCAGAGUGGAGGAGAGAUAGAGGGAGAGACAAGGACAGAGAUAAAAACCUGAAGCCUAUAUUCCAACCAUGUACUAAUAUCUGAUUAACUCUUUACAGACAAUGGUGAUCGACUGGUCGGUCAGACUGUGAUCACCAUCACUGGUCUUAAAAGUCAAAUGCCAUCUGCGGUCUGGACAUCAUCAAAUAACAGCCCAGCACUUGGUAGUUUGGUGCUUAAAGUGAUGUUGAUGUGGAUACAGAUAAUGAUAAUAAUGAUGAUGAUGAUGACAUUGUGAUUUCAUGUUGCUGAUGUUGAUUUAUAGGAGUUGCUGCAAUGAUGAUACAGUAAAAUGUAAAAGCUUUUUCACUGCGUUACUGCACUACAACCAAAUGGACUCGAAGCAGUUUGUUGCAUUUAGUCGUGUCGUUUCUUCUUGUCGAGAUCUUUGCUUGUGUUAUACUGACUCUGAAAUGUACGUUGCUCUGGAAAAAGUGACUGGCACCUUCUGUUUUCUUCUGACCACCUUUACGUGUCACAUGCAUUCAUUUGAACAUAACUGUAGAGGCUUCUUUGUCUUUAACUAUUCCCGUUCACACACUGUAAAGUCAUUAGAGGCAGGUUGGGGUCAUGUCUCACCCAAGGACACUUUGAUAUGUGGACAGCAGGACCUGACAUCUUCUGAUUGUACCACUGAGCCACUGUUGCUCCAAGCAUUCUCAGGUGGGCUCCCAGGAACAGACGAGAUUGGGAGUGUUCAGGAUGGUAGGGCCCUGUGCAAUAUGACCACAAAUAACAUCUGGGAAAUGAAAAUCCAUGUUUAUUUUUAUUUUCCCAUUGAAAAUCUGAACGCAUAUUGAUCAGACCUACUGUAUUUUUGCACCACAGAACAUUUCUGACCGGACGAGUUUCAGGUAUACCACCUGUACCUGCACACCCUAAUGUAAGUGAGCGCAGCAAUGAUUCCAGUCCCAUCCAACGUAUGGAAAAAUGAACAAAGUCGCGGAUGAAUGUGCUUUGAUUGGCUCCAAUGUGGAUGGGCAUUUUUGUUUAAAAAAAAAAAGAUGGAUGGAAGCCUAGAUAUAAAUAUAGUCUCGAGCAAAUUCUGCAAAAAAAAAAUUGCAUAUCCCCGCAGUGUGUCGAGCCUCCGGUAUCACCAGAAUGCUAAACAUGUUGCAGCUAGGGUGGAAGCUAACGUUAGUCGGGCUCAGAGUACAGAAACCCACACCAGACCCACACUCGACUCCACAUUCUGUAUUAUUCGUUCCUAAAUCUGCUGCACCUUAUGGCAUUAAAAAAAAGCACUGAUCUGUUAGUCUUGGUUAAGUAUCACCUUGAAAAAAAAAUUAAUAAACAGGUUUUGUUUGCUUAAGCUAAUGUAUUCAUUUAUUCCGUAUUCAUUGAUUCACUUGUUUACCAUUUAAAAAAAAAAGAAAAAACAAUUCUCACUGUCCUCAGGUUAAAUACUUAUAUGCAAUUAAAACGCAAUUAAUAAAUUACAAAGCCUGUGAUUAAAAUAGAUUGAUUCUUUUUAAUUGUGUUCCAGCUCUAGUUUUAAAACCUUGUAAAUAUGAGUAAUGUCUAAAAUAAAGUCACAUUAUUGUCACCUCUUUUUGUGCAAAGACACUCUCAGAUUGUUAUGAUUUUGUUAGUAAUGGUUGCCUGGGCUGCUGUACUGUUUUGCUGCUCAUUAGCAGCAAUAUGUCAAAUUACUGAUAUUAAGUAAAGAAAUUAAUCAUUUAUGCUCAGAAAAGUUGCUUCAGUAAGCGCGUUGACCCCGGACCCCAGUUAGCAGACUGUUAUAAUCUUUUAUGCGACACAACAGCUGGAGUUUUCUCAUGACUUGCGGGCAUCUUCAGACAGCAGUUAUCCUCAUUUCCUACCUCUGACAUGCCACUCACAAAUGCCAGGACAUGGUUUCGGGGUGCUUGAUCAAUUUCACGGUAGUCUGCAGAGUUCCCGGCGAGGGAGUGAGUUUGAGGGGCUGUGAUAGCAUCGGGCGACCCCUUCCUCACCCACGCUAGGGCUGUCUAAUCGGCCCUCCAGCUGCAUCCAGCCAGAUGAAGGGAACCCUGUUGACUCCUAAUCUGUGUCGCCUGUGAUCCGUUCUCCACCUCGGCGGCACGUGCGCGACUGGGUGCGGGGAAGAGAGGCAGGGAGUAUACGUUUGUUUUCUUCUUGUCAUUGUGGAGGUUAAUGGAAGGAGAGCCAUGGACCGCUUGAGGAAACAGAAGACAUAAUGUUUGGUUUCACUUUGUGCGAGCUCUCUUUCCUCCUGUCAUCUCUCCUGCCUCCCUUUUUGCUACACCCUCUUCCUCGUCUUUUCUCCCUUACCGUGUUUGAUUCCAAGAUUUACAUUUUUUAUGCCUCCACUUUUGUCUCCUUCUCCCACUGACAUAGACUCAGGAAAGAAGUUAGCAUCAAUUAUUAAAGGAAUUAAAGGACUAUAGAAGUAUAUUUUGUAUGAAAUAACUGUUGGAAAGGUGUGACAGCCAUACUUUUCUACAUUCUGUAAAACUGGGCAACAUGUGUCAGUCUCCAUAGAUACAGUGUUCAUAUGCAUGGAAGGGUGACAGUGACAGUUGUUCCAACUAAUCAUAAUUUAUUAAAUGUGUCAUAAUCAGUUCUAAUUAGCUGAAUUAAUCGACAAAGCGCAUUUCCAAUGUUUCACAGCUUUGUAUAAAAAGAGCCUCAGAUUUAUCAAUCAUUAUUUUGUUUUUAUAAUUCUUAUUUUCUGUGUUAACGCCUUUUAAUGAGCUUCAUGUGCCUGAUGCUUUUUUCAUUUUCACUCAGCUCAUUGGUUAAUAUUUCCCUGUUUAUACGCUGAGUGUUUGGAUUAUUUCUUACAGGGAACGAGGUGUUAGCCCCCAGAGUACCAUUUGCAACACUGUAAAACAUUUAACAGAAGAAAAACACGCUGCUGCUGCUGCUGCUGCUGCUGCUGCAUGGUCAUUGCAUAAUUUAUUUGAUGGGAGAGCCUUGUGUUAUACAAGGAUUAACUCAUAGUAAGUUACUAGAAGUUUUACAAAAGUUUCCCUUUAAAGAUCCGUUCCGAAGAAAAUCAUUGUUGUCUACGUAUUCGUGUGGUAUUUUUCUGAUGCUACAGGACAUUUCGAUAGCAAUGACCACGCCACAGUGAUGUGCAUUUGAAUAUUCAACAUGAAUUUGGGAAUGUGUAUGUCUUGUCUGUUGUGUUAUGUGUGUUGUGAUGGAUAAUGAGGCUAAUGAAGAGUGUUGAAUGUCUGGUUGGUCUGGGAGGUUCUGUAGAGGCCCGGCAGGGAGAGACCCAGGACGGGGGUUCCGUCUCAGGCGUUGUUCUGCUCGAGCUUAGUCCAAUCCAGACUGUACCUGAAAAUGGAUUGAGAUCAGAAAGAGGUGGACCACGAAGGUGGUAGAAGCAUUACUGUUGAAGAGGGACGGAGGGUGGGUCUAAGAAUAGCAGACAAACAGACAAACAUAUCACGAAAAAAGCAAGUGCAAAACUGCAUUUCUGAGUAUUUCUACAUUCAAAUCGUUGUGAAGAUUUACUGAGAUUUACUAUGUCACAAAUCCAAGCUCCGCCCCCAGAGCCCCCACAAUGCAGACCUGACUCGGAAAAGCAGUGAGGACGAUCACGGAACAAGCGUGUGCGUUAGCGGACUGCAAUGCUAGUAAGAAAGCUAAAUAUGAUUUUAACUUCAUCAUGACCACUAAGAACACUUUAAGUAGUGAAAAUAAAGGGUUGGGCCGGGACUUUAAACCAAAAACUUGACAAAGGCCUCUGUUGUGCAGCAUCCUAAAAGUGCAAACAGUUAAAAAUGGCGCCUUAUUCCUCACGGUUUGAGCUUUACCAUCAGAUACUCAUUAGUCAAAAUAUAGCAAGUUCAAGAAAAAAUAUGCACAUUUGUAACCAUUGUCCUGGGAAAUGUAGAAAUAGAGGUUUCACUCAGGAUGAGUCUGUUUUGCAUUCCAACCUUGGCUUGAAAAUAAACCACUCAGGGAUUUGAAACACUUGAAGAAGUUGACUAAUAGCAUAGACUUUCCUGAUCAAAGCUUUAAGAAAGACAACUCUAGUAAUUAAUCCCCCUUUUCCUUAUGUGAACAGCUGCUAAUUACAUCUUGUACAUACAGAGCCCCCUCAGCCAGGACUCAAAGUCCAACUCUCGUUCUUAAACUCCCAUCUCUGACAAAUGUUUCCACAUCUCAGCUCAUUAAUCGUUCGAAAGAGUUCAACUUCUCCAUCUCUAUUCAUCUUCAUCCCACAUUUCCCCGCCCCAUAAUAUCCUCCUCUGAUAGAGAAACCUGAUAGCAAGGUUCAACAAAGCCAAAGGGACAAGUGUCUCAUCUUCAAACAAUCCAUAAAUAAAAAACUGUGUCGAGAGACUCAGUGGAAAAGUCUGGACCCGUGCGGCCUCAUGAGCCGUCAGAGGAGGUAGCACACAGCAGGUCAACUGGGUGUUUUGGUGACAGCACAGCAGCCAGUGACUCAACGGGUUUUACUUUAUGUAUUCACAGAAAUACAACAAAUAUACCUGAAGUUAAACUCCAGAAAUGCACAAUCUGUACGGAAGCUCCCAGAGCUGUUUUCUUUGAUAACAGCUUUCUGUGAAGAAAAGAGGUUAUCCUCCUCUUCUCUGCAUUUGAACCAUUACAUCACAUCUCUUAAUCAUUAUUCAAACAUCAUUCCUGCAUGUUUCCUCUUUUGAAUGAGAGAAAAGCCGGAUAAAAAAAUCUGAUCCUUGUUGUUUUUCACUGAUGUCAUCAACCAGACAGCUAAAGGCGCUGAUUUAAUUCAAAAGGAGUUGCAAUCCAUUGAAAAUGAGAUGGUAAAUAAAAAGGAAGUGAGGCUUUGUACUCCAUGUUCUCUCAUAGUACUUGACUUUAAACAUGACAAUUUCAACAAGUUUCUCACUCUGUUAAGAAAGAGCUGCAGUAAAACAAAAAUUAUAUGCUAUUCCUGAAUAACAGUUUUCAUGUUUUAGCAGGAAGAGAAGAAAAAUGCACUUUUAGAGCUCUCCGAACUGACAUGGACCAAAAUUAUCCCUUUAUCAAAUGUGAUGGACACAUUUCCUUCGUAAGCCUCUAUCUUUAAAUGCUGCAUUAAAUAAAGGAUGUCACAUUUUAUAAAUGCCUUUGGUUACAUGUGCAAAGACAAAAUAGGUGUCUGAAAUAACUGUAGGACUGAACUCACUACCAUACCUCACGAAUAACUGCCUGUAGAUGAGAAGAUUGUGCAGAUGACUGAUAAACGCUGUAGUGUGAGAGAUUUAUACAAUAAAAGAGAACAAAAGCAGUGCGGCUCACUUAAAGCGUUUUCAUGUUGUAUUAAGUUUUAAUGCAUGUGGGAACAAAGCGUCUGGGUGUAAAGCUCCAUUAAAUGUUAAAGUGACAAGAAGAAUAUAGAUAAACCAGCGCCACCAACCAACCGUUUAUACUAACCAGAUUUUUUUUGUAGGUGCACAUAACCCCAUGACACGACAGAGACACAUAAAUAAUAGUUCAUCAUACUUUGAAUUAAAAUUUCAGUCCCUGAAAUUAGUCUCUUUUUUUCCCUCAUUAACUAUUUUGCUUUAUGUGCUCAGACUAUUUUCGCUCUUCUCUGAUCCCUCUUUAUGCAUACGGAUACAGACGAAGCCUCCCAUUAGUUCUCUGCAUGUUACUCUCUAUUAAUAUUUCUCAUGUUCUCUGCAAGCUUGCAGAAAAGGACCAAAUGCAUCAGUCAUACUAAAGAUGUGGGAGCAGUCAGGCCAACAGCUCAAACUACAGACUUUGUGAAGCUCUAUCCAGGUGUAGGAAUUAAACGGCAUCACAGACCCCCACGUUGGGGAUAUUAUUCUUUUACACCUUUACAACAAAAACUAAUUAGUGUUCAUACUACAUUUAUAAGGUAAUCGUAUUUUGUCUUAAUCUUAGAAAUUAGAUGUAAACUGUUAAAAACAGUACCUUGUGAGAAAAUAUGAGACUCACUAAAAUGAUUGCAUCAGGAUAUUUUUAUUUUAAUACAUCAGAGAGAGAAAAAGGACUUUUAAAAUCUGAAAACCGUGUAAAUCUAUGAAAGAGGGAUGAAAAAAGGAAGUGUAGUUUGAAAAUGCAUAAUGACACAUCUUUAAUCAAAUAUAUCUUUAUUAUCAUCGCCUUUAUCGCCUUCAUCGCCUUUAUUAUUAUCAACUUCUGACUUCUUAUUUUUGUAGGUAACUUUUGAGUCUAAACUUCUGAGUCUUUUGAGAAUUAUAGGGCCUCGAUAAUAAAGACAGUGAUCAGAGGUUAAAGACAGCCCGACAGGCACUCGUGGAGUGAAACUAUGGUUUUUGGGAGGCACAACAAAUGGAGGAAAUAACAUGAAGCUUAGAGUUAGAUGGACAUCAGAAGUGGAGGGUUGAGGUUUGAUUUUGCUUGUCCUGUAAAUUCUGCCACAAUAGAAACUGACAUGUGGGAGCGAGAUUAACAUAAAUUGUAAUUAAUGCUCCAGCAGCUAGUAACAUUCAACUCGACAACCAUCCCAUCAUUUACCAUGAUUAUUUACUUUAAAGUCUCAUUAGACUGCUGAAAGAUUUUCACUUUUUAAAGUUUGGACUGUAAAUAAAAAUAUAUAUAUCUGUUGUCAUGUGUAAAGUCUCUGAUGUUUUCAAGAUUUUGAUACUUAGGUAUAGGCCAGUCAAUUUUCAAAACAGGAAAUAAAUCUACCCAUAACCAUUAUAUCAAACUAUCAUAAUGACAGUUACAGUAAUUAAUGCAUAUAUGACAUGGACUGCAUCUGUUUACUGGAGUUGACAGUCCCUUUAUAGCUAACCCAUACAGAACACUGUUCUGCUCAUAUACACAUAAUGUUGAUGCAGGUUUUUGUUUGUAUCCCGGGAAACAGUUUUUGUAGAGAGCAGAAACUUUGGUCAAACUGCGGUCCAGAAACCCAAAUAUGACAUCAUUUCCUUAUAGACAUCACUUGGACACACAACCCCAGCCUCCGUGUAUAUUAAAGUAAGCCUUCAAACUGUGAUGAGUGCACAAAAACAUUAGUUGGCUCAGACAUCCCUGAUCUGCUGACUCUUGGCCACCACUGAGACCCUGAAAUAUGGUCCAUCAACUCCAGAGGCAAAAUUGUCACCAGGACAGCUGUUGGGUUCUGAGAUCCAGGCUGCUGAUAUUGGCUUUUAGCCGUCACAUGUCGGUCCAGCUGAAGAGAUUUGUUUUGAGACAUUUACUCUGCAGAUGAGGCAACAGCGAUGUAGCACCAAAUCAGGAGUAAUUUCUGUCCGAUACUCGGUGGCAGAUUUUACACUCAGUCAUUUGUAUUCAUAAAGACAGUGGGAUCAUGCUGCUUGGCUUCCAAUAGUUAUUAUGACUGGUAAAUGCUUGGCUUUUUACCCAGAUUUGGGGUCAGAGUGGUAAUGUCACCAAUUUUACUAGAAUAUUAAGGCUUUAUGAGAGGGUUUGUCGAUGAUGUAAGCUUGUUAAAGUGCUGAGGAAUACAAGGAGGAAAAGCAACACAAGGACACCAAGGUUUCCAUUAGACAAAUUUGAAUCAGUUUUCUGAAUUUUCUUCUGCUUAUUGUUUAUUUUAAGAAAUCUGUUUUAGUAACCACAUCGGUGUGGAUCCUUCAGCGUUCACGCCUCAGCUCACCCAUGUCUUGCAGAUAUUUCAUUUGAAUUUUGGCUGAAAAUAUUUAUGGUUGAAGUUGAGGUGCAAGUUUUGGCUGUUCACAGUGUUGUGUAAACAGUGAUGUAGACAGUGUGGCCUGCAUUAAUCAAACAUGUCCUUUUGAGUGAAUAGCAGACAUGUUGAGUUAUUUUAUAAUCAAUUCAAUUUAAAAAGUGUUUUCUUUGUUUUGGUUUUAAGUCAGAAUAAACUGUUUUUUUAUUUAAUUGAAUGUUUGCCCCCCUUCUGCAGAGUCCUCUACACAUAGACUGUAUAUAGAGUGGACGACAUCUGCCUCCUCGCUGGGUAAAGCCACUGUGAGAACAGCACCCUCUGGUGACAGGCUGCAGUAUAGGUCAUAAAUCCCGCCUCCUCCAACAAUCCCUAUGGAAUAUAAAUUAUAUAAUUUUUCUCCACCCUUGGAUGCGAUGUUGACAUGUAGUUACUGUAAGACUGGUUUGUGCUCAAAUCCUCUUUUUUCAGUGCAGCGCCAUUUUUAAGACUCUCAGCGACUCUCCCGCCAAAUGGGUGCAAUGCUACUGCGCAAGUGGUGGUUCCAGGAGGUGGAGAAAAUCACAGAAAUGCUGAGAGCAAUUCAGCUUCAAAUUCAUUUCAUGACGGAAGGUGGUGCCAAGUCGUCAAUAGUAUAAACAGUCUAUGCCUCUCCAUUUGACUGUCAUGUUUCUACAGUUUCUACAUAACAGAUAUUUUGCGAUUGCUGUUAUGCACAAUGAAGAAGAGAGAGGUAGUUGUGUGCAAAACAGUUUCUAAUGAAAGAUGUUUUGAUACUCAACACUUGUAAAUGGAAGAUCACACUUAGCCCUGUGUAUCACCCCAGCUUCUUGUUAUUGAAGGCCACAGUUACCUGGGAGGCUCCGCCAGUGCAACAUGACAGUACUUACGAAGGCUGUCUAUGGGCGACCUGUCUCACAAUGACCUGGAAUAAAAGCGUUUUGUGCAUUCUACAUUCAAUAGGAUAGAUAAUGAUAUUGUGUUUGUUUCUUCUGAGUGACCAAAUUUAGAGGAUUUUUAUAGUUAUGGUGAGAGGGUCAAACUUUAAAUCGUAUAGCCUGUGGUCCUUUCUCCCGUGUCCUUUUAGAAAAACAAGGUUUGUUUUGCAGGUGGCAGCUGCUGAAAAAAUAAGGCUGACUGUGCUCAUGCAGGAAAAUGUUUGCUGAAAUUUGACAGAAAGAGAGAGAGAGAAAAAAAAAGUUAUAUUAUCACUUGUACAGAAAACAGUUAUUUCUGUGGGACCUUAAAUGUUGACCUCCCCACAGUUGGAGUAUUAUUUUCUGCAGGGUGAAGCCAGAGCGGUAUAUUAAUGCCAUUUCAUUAAUUUGUGGUUCAGACUUGACUUGCCUCUGGCAUCUUUUUCUUAUAUAACUGAAAGUGAUCUGCUCUGCCCAAGGAGGCAGAUCAAGUGAAGUCAGAAAACACAGCAAGAAUGAAUCCAGCAAAGAAAAGUAAUGAUCGUUGUUCAAUCACAUUAUAAACACAUGCUGCUUCUCUUCUGUUUAGUCAUUGCAAGACUUUACAAUUACCAUGCAGUACUUAAAAAAUGGGAUGAUCAGUCAAACAUUUGGGGGAUUUACCGAUAAAACUCAUAAUAAGACAGAUAUCACAUUCAUGAGUGAACACGUCAGUGGACUCUGGACCGGUUGUGAUAAAUUGCUAUCUCAGGAUCUCAGAUUUUUGAUUUAUUGAAAAUACAUGAAGAAAAGUACUGUGCAUUGGGUUAGCAUGGCUGUGAGACAAUAUGCUGCUUAUUGCUAAACAUAGCCUGUUAAUCAGUCAGUAAGGUCACAAAGCCUAAGUAGAAAUAUCACAAGAUGUACUCUUAAAGGUCCCUUUUGGUUAAGUGGUGCUCACAGUCACUGGAUGGAUCGUACUAGUUAACUGUUCUAUGUCCAGGAGCAGGUGAUGCAGGAUAACAGCUGUCACUGCUAUAAAUGGCUGUAUAAUCUGUUAUUACCUGCUGAUGUGGAUUAAAGUUCCUGGAACAGAGGAUUAGUUAGGUGAAGUUUUUUCAGUGGUAUCACUUAUUGCACUUUAAAUGAUCAUUUUUUGUUUUUAUUUUUAAUAAGAUGAGCAAUAGGGACCGUUUUAAAAUGGAGAUGACCAAAAAAAGCCGAAGGUUUUCUUUCCCCCUUCUAAAAUUUCCACAAGAAGGAAAAAUAGCUCUCAUUUAAAAACUAUGAUGUCUAAAGAAAUUAUGACACCAAUGAAAACAGGAAGUUAAAAUGACUAAAAAACACAUUUUUCAGAGAUUAUGACUGAGACUAUAAAACUCAGUUUAAUUUUCUUGUUAAAUGUGUCAUUGCCUCUCUGUCCACACAGUGGGAUUACAUCAGUAGUUGGCUUUAGCAGCAUCUUUGGGAAGACGCUGAGACAUAAACCUCCUCAGUGAGGUCUGAUUUUCUGUUUAUGGACUGCCAAGUUAAAAGAAGUGUGGUCAAGCACGGAGCAAUUAACACGGUCAUAACCAGAAAGACUCAGCGUUGGUCUUUAAAGACUUUAAAGCUUGUUUUGUCUAGAUAGCUGUAAUCCAAAUUUGCAGAGAGGCUAGUGCCAUUUUCAGAGUAUGUGUGUUAAAAUGUAAUGGACAUAAAAUUUAACAAUAAAGAAACAGCAUGAAAAUGCAAAUAAGCAGAUAACUGUGUGAGUAGAGUUUUGUUGCUCAGGCUCUCAGCGUAUCAAAUGUCUGCUGCAGGGGUAGAGGCACAUUGAGAGGCAUCUAAUGAAGAUAGUGUGACUACAACGUUAUGUAAUUAUCCGGCUCAUAUAUUUCUCACAGUUACUGUUAAGUGUUUUGUGUUAGUACACAACUUUCUCGCCCCUUUUAACAUUUUCACGUUUAUCCUUGGUUAAACUUGACUAGUUUCCUUUAGAGUUUUGACUUCAAAUUAAUUAAUGGAGGAUACAGAUUAAAAGCCACACAAAGACAAGGCUGUUUUUUUUUUAAACAAGAAUGUGGAAGUUGGCAGCACAACCAGCAGUCAUUGUAUGCCCACAGUUUUUAAUUAAGAUGUGAGGGAGUGCGCAGUGAUUGCCUUUGUGAUAUGAGCGUGCAGAAACAUCAUUUCCUUUGAGAAGCUCCUCAAAGACUCUUGUAACUCAUGACUGGAUUUUUGGCAGGGCUCUUUUUCAAUUCCUUCCCAUUUCUCCCCUUUCAGAUGACUGUGGUGGCAGAACCUCCUCGGGGCAAACUACAGGGAGACUUUUGAAGUGGGCCACUCUCUAAAAAUGGUAAUACUUGGUUUUAAUUUGUAGUGGAGUUUAGCCUGAGGGAUGAGCUGUGCAGAGUAAAAAUGAGAAUAAUGAAAUCCUCAACGCGCAUGUUUGAUAUUCUGUGAAAUACAGAAACACGAGAAAGGAAGAUGGGUGGAGAGAAGGACAGCAGGGGACAAAAUCCAUUUGUUGAAAGAGAGCAGAGCAGGAUAUCUGGGCAGGGAAUCAAUAGGAUAAGAGGUUAUUAGCUGAGAAAUGUCACUUGAAACAUCGAUCAUCAUCUCCAUUGACUGUGGGGACAUGUAGACACACAGGGUCAAAGCAGCUUAUCAGUCAGCACUGAUGGGAAACUAUACAGUGAGGAAUGGGUGUCCGAGAUGCAAGGUUUACACAAACCCAGAGAAACGGCCACAAGAGCCCAGAUUACGAUCAUUCACGUAUUCUUCUCUUGUCUCAGUAAAAGUUGGCAUUUUGUGACAUUAUUGGUCAAGGCAGGAUAAAGGUAAACUCAUUUAAAAAUAUAUGAAAUAAAAAAAUCAAAAUAACUCAUACCACUUGCAGCUUUUGUGAGGAACUUGAGCUUUAUUGGUUCUGAUGGACACAGUGAGACCUUUCAUAUCCUUAGCCCUUUAAUGCCUUUUGUAUCAUAUUUGAUACAUACUUUAAUGAUACUUCUAUCAAAUCAAUAUAAUCGACAAAUUACAAAGAAAAAAAAAGAAGAAAAAACACCUCAAUACAGACUGAUAAAUGAUAAAAAUGUCCUCUUUUGGUUUGUCAAUUUCCAAAAACAUCUAAUGUAACAAAUGAGAUCAAUAUGUGUGUGUGUGUGUGUGUGUGUGUGUGUGUGUGUGUGUGUGUGUGUGUGUGUGUGUGUGUUAAAUUUUAAGGACAUUUUGAAAUAAAUGAAAUAAACAAUCCAGCUCCCAAAAAAAUUUGAAUUUUUUGGCCAUAAUUUGUGGUUUCAGGCGUUAAAGGGUUUAGUGUGUCACUCAGUGUGAAUAUCUGCCGUGGUAGUAAACAAAAAUGCAUUUUCUCUCGUCGGCUUAAAAUCAUCUGAUCUGACUCAUGCCCCUUCACAGUGGUCCUAGAUAUUAAAAAUUACAACAGAGAACUGAUCAGUCCGGUUGCUGAUGGUCAGUCAUCACUUUCAGUUGCAGUCUGUUUGUCAACCAGUUAAAAACUCCACAUGGUGGCUUUUACCAGUUACUGUUUCUUUUUAGGGCUUGUAACCAACUCAGAUGUGCAGUCGCCCCCCUUGGAGCCCUCAUGUCUGAAAAAAAAAAAAAAAAAAAUCCUGUCUUGAGCACCUUUUUGUAGAUAUAAUAUUCUGAAAUACCACCUCUGAUGCCCUUGCAGAAGAAACCAUGAAGAAAUGUCUUUGAAGGUGCCCUGUGGUUGGCCCUCCAGUGGAUAAAAUGUGAACAAAGUGCUCUAGGAAUGCACUGUGGAUGUUUUGUAAUAAUAUGCCCUAUGAGUAAAUUUAGCCAGGGCCUUUGAAUAUCAGAGGAGAGUAAACAGAGCAUUUCCUCUGCGCAUGUGUGUUAGAACAGUAGUAAUUGACUCAGAUUCAAAUCUCUUAAAUACUAAUUACAGUUUUGUCUUUCAGCAGGUUGAGCAGCUUACAUAACCGGCGAUGAUGCACAGAAAAAAAAAACUACAAAUUGAAAAAUAUCAGCUGUGCAACCAACAACAGAACAUGUCCCCACUCCCUCAUCCACAGUCAAUCAGUGCUGGAAUUUCUCAGCCAAUGUAACACAGUUGACAACCAAAGCUUUCAUUAGCUUUCCCCUGGCAACUCGGCGAGUGGCAGCCUGUAAUCAAAUCUCCAACUUAGGUAUGUUGUUAGCACUUUUCUCACAUUCCUGCCUCCGCGUGUAGUGAAGGGAAAUCUAUAAUUCAUCUCACAAAUGGAAGUGGCAUGUACAACACAUUCUUGUGUAGGAGUUUCGCUUCGUCCUCCGGGGUGCUCAACUCAUCCAUUCAAUCACAAGGAGUGGCAGUGUACAGAGAGAAAAAAAAGAGAGGAGCAGAGAUAAGGAGAACACGAUGGGAAGAAAAUGUUGCAGGCACGUUUCAUUUAAGCAUUACUUAAAUGAAAAAGUGCAUUAGAUAAAUGAGAGGGGCAUGGGAGAUAGUGAUAAGAAGGAGACAAGAGAGGAGCAUUUCUUUAGGAUCAUUAGAGAGAAGAAAAUGUUCAGAGACUCAUUAGCAUGAGGCGCGGCGGGAGAGACCCUGUCUUGAUAAAUGUUCUAAAGGAGUUACAGAGGUAAUAACUGUUUUAUACGACAUAUAUACAGAAUGAUAGCCCAAACAGAAGUUCAGACCUGUACACAUUUGAACUUUUUCCAAACACAAACACAAACAAGCAGUCGACUAGCAGAGGUCCUCCACCAAGGCCCAGUCAAUCCAUCAGAGGCAGAAGUGUGCCAUGGGACAGGGCAGUGCCAGUCACCUUGGACACGGGUGUAGGCCAGUUUCACGGCACAGUGGACAUUAAUGCUCCUCCCUCGCUAGAGGUCAAUAACUCAGCUCACUCCAUCACAUGCACGAGGAUGUGUACAUGCACGAGCGUCGGUAUUCACCCUGCACAGCCCUCAGUGCACUCACCUUUACAUUCAGAGGCAGAAGGAGGGAGUAAUAUGGAUGGUUGGAGUGCGAACAUCACCUUUUAGUGGGCAGUGGUGAGUUUCCAUACAGUUUUACAAUUUAAUCACACAGUGUAAGGCUUCAUCUCUUCUUAAUCUUUCUCUGUGAGUAUUGUUUCCUGUGCACCAAAGUGGCUUUACCUUCACUGUGGAGAAAUAUUGUGACCCACAUUACUGCAGCGUAAUCCAUUCCUAGAUUAUGAUGUGCAAAAGCAGCCAAGCGGGGUGCUUUAAUCAAAGCAAGUGAUCCAUUUCCUGCACCAUCCAUCUGACACAGCAGCAAAUCGUGCUUCAUCAAUUUCAAGCGUUAAAAAAACACACUGAGAAAUGGCAAAAGGAAUGUUGAAAAGAAGUAAACAGGCUUUUGUCGAGUUGGGGAGAAGAAUUCAGUGAGGAGAGUGUUGGUGGGUUACAAUUCAGACAUUUGGUUGGGUUUGGCUUUCAGAAGUGUACUAACACUUCAGUGGUGAUUGAAACUGUUUUAGUACCAAGAAUGAGUCAGAAAGAAUGACUAAUGAAAUAAUUUCGCCUUGUAAUCAUCACAGAGAAAAAAAGAGCCUCUUGAAAAAUGAAUUAACCAAACGGAAAUCAAUAAUUCAAACAAGCAUAUUCAACAAAAUAUGCUUUAAAAUUUAUUUGGAGUUUUGUUCUCCCUCAAAGGAAAUGAUGCUUUAAAUAUAUUAUACAGCUCUGCCUGACUGCUCAUAUGUUUGCGCCCUGCUUUUUCCAGCGCUUCAAGAAACAAUGUUGAGUACUCAUAUACAAGCAGCACAGCAAAAGUCACAUAUGAGUGAGUCAGUUUUAUGCUAAUGUGCUGCAUUAUUCAGACAUAAAAGAGCCUGCGUUGUACCUGUAUUGUCAUCAAUCGCUGAUACUGUUUUAAAAAUUCCCGACAUCUUGAAACUCCCACACGCUGGAGUUUUGAGAGGGUCAGAAAAGGCCAAAUCAUGCAUAAAUAUAUUCUCAUCCCUUGUGGUCUCUAAACAUGCACACAGCUUUAUGCGCUGAACUUUUGUCUCAGAGCUGCCAACCUGAUCCAGGAGCUAUGAAUAGUUUUAUUUAUACACAUAAACUUCCACAGUGAAUUGGACUUUUUGUCUGAUAGAAAGUUGCUGUAAUGAAAACUGAAAACCGUGUCUAGAUAAUGGUGGAUGGGACAUUGCUUUUGAAAAGAUAAGCUCUCUGAGACAGCAGGAGUCGAGAGGAAGUGAUCUUUCAAUACGGUUAAAACAGCGGCUAAAUACUCAAUCCCAAGUGCUCAGCACACUGAAAAUCCUUAAAUAAAGUCUGGGAUUAAAUUAGUCGUCAGGCCUCAAACCAGGUUUCACUUCAUUGGCUGGGACACUGAAUAUUUCUCUCAGAACUUGUCACAACUUCUGUUCACCGUGAUCUCCACCACACCAGUCACAUGUUCUGUACAUCCAGCAAACAUGAACCUUCUGCACCUCUCUUUUCUAAAUACUCCAUCUUACCGAUCGACAAACUCAGUGUCUUUCACUCUUGUAUGUUUGUCCACAAAUUCAUCAAUAACAAACAAGCCCUUCCGACCUUCACCUGUACUCAACACGACAAAAUGGCCAUCUUCAGUUACCUUCGUGUCCAACUUCUAGUCAUCAGUCUAGCAUCACUUUUAGAGGUCAGAAACUGUAGAAUAAUCUGGAUGCAUCUCUAAAAUCAAUAUCAUCCUUUAACUCCUUUAAAAUAUCAUUAAAAUCUCAACUAAUCAUGUCUUAAAUGCAUCAUUAUUUGUUAUGAUCAUGUUUCUUUCCUCUUAUGAAUACUUUAUUGUCUUUAUCGCUGUUUGUUGAUUAGUCUGUGUUCCAUUUAUUGCAGUUUGUACCUGUUUGACCUUUCCCUAAUCAUUGUACAUGUGUAACCUGUCUAUGUUACUUAGUUGUCUGCACCUUAUGUAUACCUUUGUAUAAGCCUAUCGGCUUCGUUCCCUCCUUGCACUGUUUUUAAUCUGUGCUAAAUAAACAAAUACAAAUACAAUUACAGCAAUGCAAGAUUGAAAGUGAACUAUGUUGCCAUCUCUGUGCAGUUGCACUAGUUUUUCUGUUCACUUUAGCAUCCCUUCUCUCUGCUAUAGAGAACCUGUCUGUUCACUCUCAUUUAGACAGUGCAGCAUUACAUCCACACGUAUGUUGAGGGGGAUCAGAGGUAACAGUUCCUUCUCUGCUGUGGCCCCCGCACAGUAAAACCUGUUACUCCACUACAUGAAAUCGUCCAGACCUUACUACUGUCUGUCAUGGUUGUGCAGCCUGUAUGUGCAGGGUUGAGCUGCAGACUGAUUUAAUCUCCCAGUAAUGUCAAAGUGAUAUUUACAGAGUUCAUGUACCAUCCAGAUUAGGUCCUCUGGGAGUGGAACUGUUGUCUCCAUCACUGAAGAGUUUGAGUAAAACUAUGUCCAUGAGCACUUUGGAGCAAAUACCACCAGCUCUCAGCAGACUGUAAAAAGUUCACUUCAGCUUUUAGCACAGGUGUUAGUGAAUUAAGUUUUUUUAUUUUUUAUAUUUUGCAAUGAGGCACAUUUACUUGGAAAGAGGUGUAUUUUACAACAGAUGAAUGCAAACUGGCAAAAAUUCCCUAUAAUCAUCGGCUUCCUGAGUCCUCCAACCUCCAGGAAAUACUCACAAAGCAAUUAAUCAAUAACCAAGUAAAACCUGAUUAAAUUAUUUCCUUCAUUUCCACCAGGACAAGACUAAGCGUGCUGCAUUUAAAGGGAAUUUACUAUCCUCACAGCUAUGGAGGACAAAAAGAAACAGAAUGAAACAUAUUAAUAAAAAGUUGGAGCAGAUCCUCUGGAGACGCUCUUCACACUAGAUCAGCAUUAGUCCCGCCCACUGACUUUGAUGGGUGAGUUUGACAGAUAAAAUAAAUUCAUGAAGCACUGCGACACAGGUCCAUGAAAUAAUUAAUUAAAUAGUAAAAUAAUAAUAUAUGUUUUCACAUUGAAUGAACUGGUAUUUUAAUGAAUUAAUGACACAUUUGUGUAUUUAGUUUCCAUUUUUACUGACUAAUGACAUAUUUAAAUAUUUAUUUAAAGAUGUAUUUAUAUUUCUUUCUCUUUUUGUCCUCCAUACAAACCUCAUAUAUGUAUCUAGAUCACAUUGAAGUGUGGGCGCAAUCACUGUGUAUAUCAUUCAUAUAUUUACACAUUUAGCAAUGAAUCUUUUUAUUCAUAUUUAUUCUGCAUCUCCCAUUCGAACAGCUUGAGUACGAGCACCUGCAGUUCCUUAGACGCAUAGCCUCUGUGUGCCGGCUUAAGGGCCUUGAGUGUCUCAUCUACAGCAGGGAGACACGCUCCUUAUAGCUUUCCAAUAGUGAAUAAAGCCUGUCCUUGUUCUGUUGUUCUCUCCAAUAAAAGGUAGUUAUCUAUAAACCUGGUAGGCUGGAUCCGGGAAAGGUGCCCUCCUGAGACAGAUUAUAUGGUGCUAACAGGAUCGUCAUAGGUGGAUGAGACCAGAGAGGAAAAUAAUAAAGAAGAAGGCCCUCUAUUACCUGUUCUUCUGUCAGACCUGCUGUGUUUUUUCACAGAGCAUCUUGGGUGAUGCUUGGGUGAUGGAUUUAAUGUUUGUCUGUAUGCAACGAUGAAGCUGAAUGAGAUCUUAAAGUAAAAUAAUCUAUUCUUCACAAAUUUCUUUUCACCACUUCUUAAAAUGAAAACAAUACAAGGAAUGACUGGCUUGCAAAAAUAUUGCUUUUUCUCAAAUUGAACCCCCGUUGCUUCAGUCUGGUCCGAGUUGAGUCCUCAUUAUUGUUAAUAGGGUGCCGGCAUUACUCCAAACUGUUCACUGUAUAAACCUGGACUGGUGGUGCUGUGGGAGAGUUUUGGAUUUGUAUAAAGCACAUUAAUUUCUUUAACGUGAGACUCUUUCUGUAGGAGUGUAUGGAAAUUUCAAUAAUGAAGUAACAGUGCUGUGUGUUCUGCCGUUGAGGAAUUACAGUAUGUCCAGUUAACCUAAAAACACCCUCAAUCAACCGACUAUUAAUCAGAAUUUUAACAAACCAACAUCUUGGUUCAAGUUACUGAGUCACUGUAGUCGCCAUGACUGACAGAGUCAACGGUCUAAAUAGACUAAUUAGCAACCCUCUUACAUUUCUGGGUGCACCCUAAACAGACGACUACUUCAGUCUGAGCUCGUCCUCAUCCCCCCUUCAGUGCAGUGCCCUUACUUACUUUAGUGAAAAAUCAACAUUACACUUGAGGCAUCUCACUUUAGACAUCCUGCCUCUAACUGCAGCUGAACAAGAUGGUGUGUGAUCGGGUAUCCAUGCAAACAAACAUGCCGGCCCCUUACUGAGGACAUUAUCAGGGCCUUGGAUUAAAAUGUUAACAACAAGAAUAAUAAUAAAAAGCCUCAUCAGUAUAUGAGCCCAAGUCCUCCUAGCAAUCAUUGGAGCACCGGUCAAACUAAAUCACCAGUCCUGGCAAUCAGGACUUUAGCCAGGCUGGAGUACAAUUGAUGCCUGCAAAGUUUCUCACUGAUGUUUUUGAUGUUUGACUUCCUGUUUCAUCUGUGUAAUCCAAGUGCACGAGAAAUGGGGAAAAACUGGACACGGAUGAUUUUUCAGAAUGCAGGCUAUAACUACUUUGGCACAUUUUAAUGAAGUUGAAUCUACAAUCUAACAUUUUUAACCUUUUUAUUGGAUUUUUGCAGUCCUUGUCGGGGAAGCAGUGAUUUAUUCUGUUGUCCUUUCAGCGUACUACUAAGAUUCUAAUGCAGUCUGUCCAUGUCUCCAACUUCAGGGACUCUCUUGACACAAACACGUGUGGAAAUUCUUGUGCCUGUCCUUGACAUGAAGGUUUAAAACCACAAAUUGAUGUCUCUGUUUUUCUAUGGAUCGAUGGAAAGUUCAGAUGUGGUAUAGAGCUACCUACGAGGGCUGGCUUUCAGCCCAGGUUCACUGGGCUUCUGGUGCUUCCCUUCGAAGUCCACCCAGCAGGCAAGUGGGGUUUCAGCUGAGAUCAAAAGACCGCAUAGAAUGCCAGUGGAAGUUCAAACCUGCUCUUUUACUUUCUAUCCUUUGCAACAUUUGGAGCAGAUGUCAGUGUGGAGAUUAAAUACAUCUGCUGUUCACCUUGGCCAAUCUGAAUGCAAAGGACACAGAAACUGAUAAACACUUUUGGUUGGUGUAUUUUCUUUGCAAAUGUAAUACUCCACUCUGUAUUUUUUUCACAUUCGAUUUCGGAUAUUAUAUAAACUGUUUAGAAAGAACUUUGGCAUCCUCAUUAUUUGGAUAAUUUCAUAAGCAAUAAAGUUUGUUUGACCACUAAGCCAAUGGCUCAGAAGGAGGACUUUAAAUCAUCUCUUGGUUUUGGCAAACAGCGCUCUCUUAUCCACACAAUGCAUAAACAAGUUGUCACUCAAGUCAGCAGUCAUUGCUAAUUAGAUUGGAGCUGGCCUAAUAUAAUGUGUGGGACGCUUUAUGGCCAGUUACAUUCAAAAUCUCAUCAGAGCCCUCCGAGGUGUCAAACCUUGAGAGAAACACUUUGAAACUGUCAGUGCUUAAAGAUGGCUGUACUCUUACAGAUUGAUGGAGCAAGAUCUUGGAUCUGAGAGGAUUACUGCACACUGAGAGGAUGACAAUCAACUGGAAUAAGAUGAGGCCGGGUUACAAAAGCUCUCUUUGUGUCAGAUCUCUCAAAGGAGUCAUACUGAGCUACUGUGUAUCUAUGUGGAGUUUCAAGCAAGUGGAAAGAUAAAAGUCAGCCUCGGAAUUUUGCAGGAUUUGCCAGGCAAAGAUGAACCGGAUAAUUGCUAUGGAAACCAAGACUGAAUUUUAAAAGAAAAACCUCUUUAUGCUUUCUAGUACAGAAACGCACCGCCCUACUUGUUUGAACUUCUUACUCCUCCACUUGUACCUGCAGGUCAUUCAACAAGCUGCUUGUCCACCCACCAGGGAUGAAGCUAAAGUGAAGAAUCAAGCCUUUUCUCUGGGACUGAGAUCCAGCCGUGGCUCAUUCUGCUGGACCAGCUUGUGACAUCUAAGGUGUGCAAAUGCCUCCAAACAAAAACCUAUUUUUUGACGUAUAGUACAUUUCCUUUUUUAUGCAUGUUAGACUUUUGGAAUUGUACUCUCUCUGUUAAAUGCCUGUUAGACAUAAACUGCUGACAGUAUUUGUUUUCUCUUCUAUAUCGCACCAUGUUGAGCCCGAUGAAGAAUUAUUGGAUGUAGAAUCCUGUCAAGCAAUUCGGUGAAAGUGGCAUCUGCUAUGUUCAAUUUUCAACAGGUAUCACCGAAGUUGAAAAGCCUCAUUUAAACCAACACCUUCUUUAUUUAUUUUUGGCAGAAAGGGAAGUCAGGUCAAGGUGUUCCAUUAAAUGGUAGCAAUUUAGAAAAGUGGAUUGAACCUGGCUUUCUGAUGGCCCAUGUGGCAGCAGAGAGCUACAGGGAAAAGUGCUUCAGACUGAGGUAGGGUCACCUUUGCUUCCACCUCGAUGUAAGGAAUGAAAGCUGCAAGAAAAAAAAAAAAGAAGAAGAAAAAUCUCACAAGGAAGUCGCUUGAUGGUUUAG